rnacentral:lncRNA from 1 species
AUCAAAAAGGACGACCCAAGUAUGCCAAGCAUCCAGUGCUCCAUUAAUGGAUACAACUUCCAGAAGAUGCUUUGCGACACCGGGUCAGGCGUCAACAUAAUGGCUGCCAGUCACCUAUCAGCUCCUAUUCGGAACCAUGCCCCUAAAACCGACAUACAUUCAGCUUCAGAUGGCAGAUCAGACAUUCGGAAAGAUUGAAGGUUAUUGACAUGGGAGAAGACGAGUACGAUCCAUCCAUCAUCCUUGGAAGACCGUUCUUUAGCACCAUUAAAGCAAUCAUAUACAUUGGAACCAGAGAAGUCCACAUGCACUUCCCCUCAGAGAAGGUACGCCACUGUUUUACUGACCCUAACUAUAUAGUUGAAGACUCUAAGCAGGUCAGGACAAGAAGACGACGACGCAACCGUAACCAGAGAAGGCAAAAUCAUCAAGGACGGAUGGGUAGACUAUGAAGGAGAAGUUGUAAGGUCUGAAGACAUACAACUUGAACAGAACUAUCCUGAGGAGACCGUAGCACCGAGUCACGUGUGUAGAGAGAAGAUAGUUAUACAUGAAGAGCAGGCGCCGCCGGAACCACCGACUACGCCAUCUAGCGAAUCCCAGGACGACUGAGAAAACGGAGGGUCCCGUUCGAAGGACUUAAAAACAUUGAACGCCUUCCCAAGAGGUAAACUUGGUAGUUAUACUUUCCCUUUCAAUUAUUUUAAAAUGGUUUGCUUAGUUAAUCAGGUUCAUCUCAUCUUGAAAAGAAAAUAAAAAUGUUAAAAAAGUAAGCCCCAUGUGAGUAUGCUCAUGGCAUAAAACCCAUAAGUACAUUCACUGUGGUGGCAUAAAAAUGAAAUAAAUAUAUUCCUGUCCUAUAAAAAUAAAAUUAUAAAAAAUAAAUUUAUGAUCCUACUAAAGAGAGUAACAUUUAUUGAGGAGGCUCAACAUGAUAAAGGCUAGAUAUUUAUGCUAACACUUAACUAGUUCCACAAAGCUUUGUUUUCUAUUUGAGCUCCACAGAAUUCAAGGAUCAAAGAAGACUAGCAGACGGAGGACAUCCUAAUCGCUGUCAGGGUGCUGCUGACAUUCAAAUACACCUCCACCACCUGCUAGCUACAUCAGAAGAAAUUGCGUCAAAAUCCAGCUUGGGGGAGAGCACCCCCAUUUAUCCAGCUAAGUGUUCUACUCAUGGUUAUACUUUACUCAAAUAAUAAAAAUACACAUAAUCAUAAAAACCUAAAUAAAGAUUUUGUGCUUAUAUAUAUAUUUGCUUAGUUUGCUAAAUAAAUAAAUAAAUAAAGUUUGCUAUGAACCCUCAUGAUAAGCUCUCACAUGGAAAUGAUGAAUAGUUGAUCUGCCAUGUACCUAGUUUUCAAGUUUAAGCUUUCUCUCAAGUUUAGGCAUAACUAUUAUUAAUUAAGAUUUGCUCUAAACCUGAACUUGUGGGGAGAGUACUUGAUCUAAAGUUUAAGUCGUUAACUGAUACGAUAUGAGAAGGUUGAGCUGCUGUUUAUUUGUUCCUAGAGAUGCUAGAAUUCUGGAGAAUUUUAUCUUUGAAAAUCUUUAAAAUGUUGCAUGAUGAGUUCCUGUAUGAUGAGAGUUUAAAUUCCUACCACAACCAUAUAUACAUGCUUGUUAGACUAUGAACCAUACAUUUACUUUUUACUGCUUAUGAGCAUUGAGUGUGGUCAAGCUGUGUAGGCCCUUAGGAGCUUGUCAUGUCGUUAAAUCAAGAUUCACUUGCACGUUCACUCAUACAUGCUACUUCUACUUCGGAAGUACGCAUCCACAUAUAUCCAUCCAUUUCCAUCUCCAGAACCACCCAAAAAUAUUCUACUCCUAAUCCGGGAGAGAAUAGCCAAAAAGAUUAUCCUAUCUCUGUUCUUCCCUGUGAAAUAAAUGCUCGAGUUAUCUUGGUUACUACCACUUGCUAUAUUAUUUCAGGAGAUGAGUGCUCUAAAAAAAGGAAAAAAAAGAGAAAAAAAAGAAGAGAUACGAGGAAAUAAAAAGGGGCAAGUGCCCGGAACCUCAGAAAAAAAAGUGAGACGAGAGGUAAAAAUGGACAAGUGUCCGACAGUAGAAUUAGGGGUACAAGAUACCCACCCGAGAGAAAAGAAAAGAAAAAAAAAAUAUAGAGCAUCUCAUUCUCCUCAAAAAGUUUCAAAAGAGCAAGAAAGGUAUGUAUCCCAUCAAAAGAGCACAAGUGGAAUUAGACUUUCACCAUUGUUAUCACCAUCAUCACCAUACACCAUUCAUUUGCCACACAUGCACAUCUUGAUUUGACUUAUUGACUUGUUCUUGUGGAUCCAUGGUUUGACUAUGCAAUAAAUGUCUUGUAAGUAUGUAUUAGCUGUCUCCCACCAAUGAGCUCCAGAUAUCAAAAGCCUUAUUAGAGUAGGGUGAGAGAGAAGGCAAUGCCACUAUGCCUCAUACCAAAAAUACUACAUACUUUGAGAGAAGGCAUAUACCAUUACUGCCUUGGUAAGGAUCCAGAAAUACCACAAAAGAGAGACUAGAGAGAGUCAUACAAGGAAUCUCUGAGUUUUAUUUGAAAAUCUGCAAAAACUCCAGAGCUAUAGUUAAUCGAAGAACAAGAGACAUGGUGCUUGACUAGACUGUUCUAUCUUUUAACUACUCAAGACAGAAGUGACGGUUACAAGUUCCAUGGUGAAAGGUAAAUGAGUAAGUUUUAAGUCUUUGCAGUUUACUCUAACCAGAGAUGAGAUCUUGUUUAAACGCAUGUGUAUCUUUAAGUUAAGAAACCACUGCAGAAACACCUAUGUUCAUCUUUGCUCAGGGAUGAGCAAAGGUUAAGCUUGGGGGAGCUUGUUGACGGUCCUUAAUGCUCACAUUUAACCAUCAACUAAUCAUGGAAAAGGAUCUAAAUGCAACCAACACCUAGACUUAGGGUUUUAUCUGAUAGAAUUCCACGAGUUUUGGUGUUUGUCUAUUUCUGCAGGGGGUUAUCAGGAAAUACGGAAGAAAGGCCCACACGUCGGGUUUACAUAGAGAUAUUAACGUGCCGCACAAUUAUCUACCAUCUAGAAGAGUCCAGAAGCCACGGGAGUGAACGGGAGACGUAACAGAGCCGGGCACUGGGCGCCCGCCCUCCCUUACUGGGCGCCCGCCCUCCUCCCUGGACCAAUCAGGGUGAAGUUCGGGGAUCAUGCUCCACCGACCUAAUACUUCAAGGAAAACCACACGAUCAAUGUCGGUUUGAUCCGACGGCCCAGAUUCAUCUGAAAAGACUAUAUAAGCAAGGCCCCCUGGCCCCUGGAGAUCAUACCUCUUCUACAGAAUCAAAGUUAGGGUUUCAAUUCUUCAUCCAAGUAGAGAGGAUCCCUCUAGUUCUUCUAGUUCUACCUCUAGUUCAUCUAGAUCUAGUUCUAGUUCAUCUAGUUCUAGUUCUAGUUCCUCUAGUUCUAGUUCUAGUUAGUUCUAGUUGUAAUUUAGAAAAUAGGGAGAGAGAAGAGGAGAGCGGAGGAGGAGCCGGAUCUGUCGGAUCUUCCUCAACAUUGUACCUUUGCAGCAACUGGUUCGUUCUUCAUCGUUCUCCAGGUCUUCAAUUCACAAUUCCUGAGUUCUUUAAUUACUUUUAUUUACAUUCAAGUUAUUUAUUGGAUUUCCGCUUGCAUCAAGUGCUCUAAUAUUUGAAACAUUAGAGUAGUAAUUAAUAGAUUAGACGUGGUGUUUAGUCUUGCAAUUACCUGGAAUUGCACCCAAUCCUACGGAUUGUUGUGGUAGCCCUAGGGUAGUGACAGCCCUAACGGUCGACGUAUUCCACCACGUUCGGAUAUGUGUUUGUAGGACCGUAGUCGGAGCUUCCUAGCCCCCUUCUCAUCUCUUUCUGUGGUUAGUGUUCUGAUGUCCCAAAAUAGAUAAUCUUGAAGUAAUUCUUGAUUCUUAGAUCAACUAGAGAACUCUCAGGAAACUUCCUCUCUUCCCACCAAAAAUAAUUAUAUAGUUAUCCUUGGGCGAUCUUGGAUCUUAAUUAGUACACUCACGUUCUCUGUGGAAAAUCGAUACUCUAGAAUACUCCCGGGUGAAAGCUACAUCGGUAUCCGUGCGCUUGCGGAUUUUUCUAUUUGCGUUUAAAAUACCCAACAGGCUGGACAUCAGAUUAUUAGCUUUAUGGAUGGCAAUGCAGGAUAUAAUCAAAUAUUCAUGGCCAAAGAAGAUAUUUCAAAGACCGCAUUUAGAUGUCCUGGUCAUGUUGGGUUGUUUGAAUGGAUAGUCAUGACCUUUGGCUUGAAAAAUGCUAGUGCUACCUAUUAGAGGGCUAUGAAUUUUAUCUUUUAUGAGUUCAUCGGCAAGCUGGUGGAAAUUUACAUUGAUGAUGUGGUGGUUAAGUCUGGGGAUUUCACAAAGCAUCUUGCCGAUCUGUGAAAGGUGUUGGAGUGCACAAGGAUCCCUGGUUUGAAGAUGAAUCCUAAUAAAUGUGCAUUUGGUGUAUCGACAGGGCAAUUUCUUGGUUUCAUGGUGCAUCGGAGAGGAAUUGAAAUUAGUAGAAGAUCUAUUGAUGCUAUCAACAAAAUAGUUGAUCCCACCAACAAAACUGAACUCCAAUCUCUGAUCGGUAAGCUAAAUUUUAUCAGGUGAUUUAUAUCUAACUUGUCUGGUAAGAUUCAUGCUUUUAGUCCUUCACUUAAGUUAAAAGCCGAUCAAGAGUUUUUGUGGGGAAGAGAGCAACAAUCGGCAUUGGACGAAAUCAAGAAUUAUCUGACAAACCCUCCAGUUCUAAUUCCACCUCAGCAAGGACAACCUUUCAAAUUGUAUUUGUCUACCGAUGGGAUGGUCAUUGGUUUGGCUCUGAUUCAAGAAUUUGAAGUGAAGGAACGUGUGAUUUAUUAUUUAAGUAGGAGGUUCGUUGAUGCUGAGACUAGGUAUUCGGCAAUCGAAAAGUUAUGUUUAUGCAUAUACUUUUCAUGUAUUAAGUUGAGACAUUAUUUUCUAUCGACCGAAUGCACCGUUAUAUGCAAAGAUGAUGUAGUCUGGUACAUGCUAUCUAUGCCGAUCAUGAGUGGUAGAAUCGGUAAAUGGAUUUUGGCGCUGUCGGAAUUUGAUCUGCGUUAUGAAUCGGCUAAGGCAGUUAAGAGGCAGAUUAUGGCCGAUUUUGUGACUCAGCAUUGCGGUUGUUGGUGGUCCUUAAGUAUCAAAUUUAAUUAUCAAAUAAAUAAAGAAAAGGAUCCAAAUGAAAUCAAUAUCUAGACUUAGGGUUUUAUCUGACAGAAUUCCACGAGUUUUGGUGUUUGUCUAUUUCUGCAGGGGGUUAUCAGGAAAUACGGAAGAAAGGCCCACACGUCGGGAUUACAUAGAGAUAUUAACAUGCCACGCAAUUAUCUUACAUAUAGAAGACUCCAGAAGCCACGAGACCGAAGCGGAGGUGAAACGGGGCCUGACCCUAGGCGCCCGCCCAGGUGAUCAGGGCGCCCGCCCACCUCCUGAGUCCAAUCAGGACUCUGCUUCGUGGGAGAUCUCCACCGACCUAAAGGAUGAAUCUAAACCAUACAAUCUAUGUCGGUUUGAUCCAAUGGCCCAUAUUCACUUGAAGGGACUAUAAAACCAGACCCCCUGGCCCCUGGAGGAGAGAGCCUCUCAACCCUAAUUCAUUGUUCUUCAAGGGAGAAGAAGCCUCUGAUCAAGAUUAGAGCCACCACAUCAAUUAGGUAUCUAGAUUAGCAUAGCUACAUAGAAUUAGACCUAGAAGGAGUCAAUCUUCGAUUGGUUUCUGGAUCUGUCAAGAGGAUUCUUGGUAAUUAUCUAAUUGUGCUUCUAAUUGCUUUCUAAUUAUCUUUGUUCUUCAAUAUUAUGAAUAUGACUUUGUUCUACUUCAAUAUAUUGCUUAUGACUUUGCUCUACCUGCUUAUAUUCAAGAUUAUAUUGUUCUUAGUUUAUCAUAGUUAUGUACUUGGCUUAGUUAGAUUUGAUCUAUAUACAUGCUUAGGAUCGUAUAGCGUUUAUCCAUCGGAUCCAUGGGUAAAUGAUAGAUAUUGUGUAGGCGUGGUGCUUAUACCGUAUUUAUCUACGAUUGUACCCAAUAUGCCAGAUCGUGGGGUAGUUCGUGAUAGUGAUAGCUUCAUUGAUUCUUAUAUAGUCCCCCUCUCGUGUAUUGGGCUGGCAGAGCAACAUUAUUACAGGGGAGUGAUUGCUAUGUUUCUCAUAUUCCUUGCUAAUAUCACUAUGCAUGGGCGUAGUCUUGUCUGACAAUGAUUGCUAAGUAUGCUUGCACUAACUAUGAUAAUGCUAGACUAUAUAGUUGAGAAUAACUUAGGGAAUAUUCUUGUAGUUCGUUCUAAUACCAUGCUAAUGACUUUAUAGAGUAUCUAAUUGAGGUGCUUAUCAUAUUUAUUAUGUGGCUAGAUCAGAUUAGUUAUCCUUGUCACUAUUAUUAUUUCAUAUAUCUUUUAUGUGACAGUUAUCCCUGUAUGAAGAGUUAGAUAUAAUGUUCUCAAUUAUACAUGCAAUGAUAGAUGCUCAAUCUCAUAUUCUAUUCUGUAAUCAAUAUUGAUGAUUGCUAAUCCCUUCCUAGUGGAAAAAAAAUAUAAAUAACGAUACCUGGAAUACUUCCCGGUUAAAAUGCUACAUCGGUAUUAAUCUGUGCGCUUGCAGAUCCCAUUCAUUAUUUAUUUAGAAGAGCAAUUGCAUAUUUCAAUACCGCGUCUCUUAUAUCAUGCUGGGGAUGACAACUUGGCUUAAGUGGUGUGAGGGAUAGGUUUGGCAUUUUUGGCAUCGUUACUAGAUUUAGAGAACUUAGUCUACUUUUGGUAAUGAUGUUAAGAAUACCCAACAAGCAUUUUUGGCGCCGUUGGCGGGGAAGGUUGAUUACUAAUCAGGAAUAGAAUAAAAGAUUUUGAGUUAUCAUUCGCAUCACUAAUAUGAUUGAGCUUAUCUAUACUCUCAUACAGUUUUACCCUGAUAUUUUUCUAUUUUAUCUUAUGCAGGGGAAUGUAUGAAUACAAGACAUCUUCCAGGAAAUUUUGUUGACAAUCCCGAAGCAUUAUUCAAGAAGACGAGAGCCAAGCUAAAGAAGAGAUCAUCAACACUUCAGCAAGAAGCUUCAUCCAAUCAAGAAGAUCACCGGAACUUGUCUUCAGAGUUCGAAGCCAUGGCGAACAAAUCAAUCCGCGAGUUCUCAGCUCCCACUACGGACAACAUCCGCACUGGACCUGCUGCAGAGAUCGAUGGCAACUUUGAGCUCAAGCCUGGACUUAUCAACAUGGUGCAAUCCAACCAGUUCUGUGGGAAGGCACACGAAGAUGCUAGUGCUCAUUUACAACACUUCGUGGAGAUUUGCAACACAUUCACCAUAUCAGGAGUUUCCAAAGAUGCUAUACUACUUCGCCUCUUCCCAUUCUCACUGUUAGGAAGAGCGAAGCAGUGGUUCUACACUACAAAGGAGAAGAAUACUACGUGGGCACUCUGCUCAACAAACUUCCUAGCUAAGUUCUUUCCCAUGGGCAAGACCAAUGCUCUCCGUGGGAAGAUUACAAGUUUUCAGCAACAAAAUGAUGAAUCUGUUCCAGAAGCAUGGGAGCGCUUUCAAGACUACAUCCUAGAAUGUCCCCAUCAUGAAAUGGAGAGUUGGCUAUUGAUGCAGACGUUUUAUCAUGGACUCGGCAACGGUGCCCGAGAGACCAUUGAUGCUUCAGCUGGAGGAGCAUUUUUAUCACUUACUAUACCACAAGCCACAGCUCUUGUGGAGAAGAUGGCGUCCAACCAAAGCUGGAAUGAAGAGAGGACCCAGACACGCAAGAGAGGUGGAGGUAUGCAUCAGCUGAAGGAGGUAGACAUGCUGUCUGCAAAGCUAGACCUGCUCAUAAAGAAGCUCGACGAUAGAGCUGGAGACAAGAAAGAAGUUAUGCACAUCUACGACUCUCACAUGACUUGUGAGGAGUGUGGAGAUACUGGACAUUCAGGCAACCACUGCCCUGAGAUGCUUGAGGAUGUGAACUACAUCAACAACAACAACAACUACUACUACAACCGUCCUCAACAAAAUCAAGGUUGCAAUCAACAGAGGCCUAACUACUCAGGUAAUUAUCAAGGUAACAAUUCUUACAACAAUAAUAAUAAUUUUCCACCUCUGAGAGAGUUAGUAUCUAAUCAAGGAAAGCUAAGGGAUAAUCUAUCUAAGAAAUUGGCAUCUAAUGAUAAAAUGCUAGAAAAUAUAAAUAAUAGAAUGGAUAAUUUCUCUACUGCCAUCAAGAAUCAAAUUAGCUUUAAUAAAAUGAUUGAAUCUCAGUUAAAUCAAAUAGCUGCUGCUGUUCCUGCCACUAACCCCGGUAUACCAUCACAACCGGAAGGAUUAGAAUCUACAAAUCUUGUAGACAUGUUUGAUGCAGGUAAUUGGAGUAACCCCGACACUGAAUUCUCUACUGACCUUCUGCCGGUCAAGAGAGGCGAUCCAGGACGCCCCGUCAUCCCGAUCUCCAUCGGCAUGGUGGAUGUUCCAGAAGCACUCUGCGACUUUGGCUCCAGUGUCAACAUUAUACCCAGGGUACUCUAUGAAAAUUUCUUUACAUAUCCUUUAUUAGAGACAACCAUGUGUUUGCAGUUUGCAGAUCAGACGAUAACUUUUCCAAAAGGAAUAUUGAAGAACCUUUGCGUCCGAGUUGGUACCUUGUAUGCCCUAGCAGACUUUGUAGUGGUAGAGACCGGAAAUGAUGAGAGAGCACCCAUCAUCUUAGGGAGGCCAUUCUUGAACACCACGGGAGCUAUCAUCUACGCUAGUGCUGCCAAAAUCAGUUUCUACGUCAAAGGGAGGAAGGAGACAUUUUUCUUCAAGAACAAGGCUACACAAAUUCCAGAUCAAUCCAGACGUGAAUCAAGGAAGAGGACCAACAGGAGGAACAGGAACAAGCAAGUGUGGACCGAGUCAGCUAAGAUGGUCACUGUAGUUCAUGGAGGCCAAGAUCACCAACUUAAGUCACCGCUUUUGACCAAGAAGGACGACCCAGGAAUGCCAAGCAUCUACUGCUCCAUAAAUGGAUACAACUUUUACAAGACAUUUUGCGACACCGGAUCGGGCGUCAACAUAAUGGCCACAGUCACCUAUCGGCUCUUGUUCGGAACCAUGCCACUAAGACCAACAUACAUUCAGCUCCAGAUGGCAGAUCAGACAUUUCGAGAAGUUAAAGGAAUAGUAACUGAUGUCCCAGUCAAAAUAGACGAUCACUUUGUCUACAUAGACUUUCAAGUUAUUGACAUGGGAGAAGACGAGUAUGAUCCACCCAUCAUCCUUGGAAGACCGUUCCUCAGCACCGUUAAAGCAAUUAUCUACAUUGGAACCGGAGAAGUCCAUAUGCACUUCCCCUCAGAGAAGGUACGCCGUUACUUUACUGACCCUAACUAUAUCGUUGAAGAAUCUAAGCAGGUAAGGAAAAGACGCAACCGCAACCAGAGGAGGCAGAUCAUCAAGAACGGAUGGGCAGACUACGAAGGAGAAGUUGUAAGGUCAGAAGACGUAGAGUUUAAACAGAAUUAUCUAGAGGAGACGGAAGCACCAAGUCAGGUGUGGAAAGAGAAGAUAAUUAUACAUGAAGAGGAGGCGCUGCCGGAAGUACCGACUACGCCACCCAACGAACCUCAGGACAAUUAAAAAAAUGGAGAGUCCCGUUCGGAGGACUUAAAAACACCGAACGCCUUGCUAAGAGGUAAACUUGGUAGUUAUCCUUUCCCUUUCAAUUAUUUCAAAUAGUUUACUUAGUUUAUCAUGUUCGUACUAUCCUAAAACGAAAAUAAAAAUAUGAAAAAAACAGUAAGCCCCAUGUGAGUAUACGAGUGGCAUAAAACCCAUAAGUACAUUCACUGUGGUGGCAUAAAAAUAAAAUAAAAUAAAAAUUUCUUUUCUGCUUUAUAAAAUAAAAAUAUAAAAACAAGGAGUAAUAAUUAUUAAGGAGUCUCAACAUAAUAAAGGCUAGAUAUUUAUGCUAACACUUAAUCAGUUCCACAAGCUUUGUUGUCUAUUUGAGCUCCGCAGAAUUUAAGAAUCAAGAAGACCAGCAGACGGAGGACAUUCUAAUCGCUGUCAGAAUGCUGCUGACUUUCAAAUACACCUCUGCCACCUGCUAGCAACAUCAAGAGAAAUUACGUCAAAAUUCAGCUUCGGGGAGAGCACCCCCAUUUAUCUCGAUAAGUAUUUCUAUCUAUCUUAUAUUAUUUUAGAAUAUAAAUAUACAUAACUAUGAAAAAACCAAAUAAAGAUUUCGUGAUUAUAUAUAUGUCUUUUGCUUAGUAUGUUUACUAAAUAAAUAAAGUGGCUAUGCUAAUCUGUAUCUUAAUAAUAAAACUUAAGCAUGGAUAUGAUGAAUAGUUGCUCUGCCUAAUUUGCAAAUUUUAAGUUCUCUCUCAAGUUUAGAUAUAACUGUUAUAAUUUAAAGCUUGCUCUAGACCUAAACUUGUGGGAUGAAAACUUGAUCUGAAGUCUAAGUUGUUAACGGAUACGAUAUGGGAAGGCUGAGCUGCUGUUUAUCUGUUCCUAGAGAUGCUAGAAUUCUGGAGAAUUUUAUCUUUGAAAAUCUUUAAAAUGUUGCAUGAUGAGUUCCUGUAUGAUGAGAGUUUAAAUUCCUACCACAGCCAUAUAUACAUGCUUGCUAGACUUUGAGCCACACAUUUACUAUUUACUGCUUAUGAGCUUGAGUGUGGUCAAGCUGUGUAGACCCUUAGGAGCUUGUCAUGUGGUUAAAUCAAGAUUUCACUUGCAACUCAUAUAUGCUACUUCUACUCCGGAAGUCCACCCAAAAAUAUUCUACUCCUAAUCCGGGAGAGAAUAACAAAAAAAAUAUUUCUGUUUUUCCCUAUGAAAUAAAUAGUCCACCCAAAAGUUAUCUUGUUACUACCACUUGCUAUAUUAUCUCAAGAGAUGAGUGCUUUAAAAAAACGAGGAAAUAAAAAGGAGCAAGUGCUCGGAACCUCGAAAGAAAAGAAAAAGUGAGACGAGAGGUAAAAAUGGACAAGUGUCCGACUGUAGAAUUAGGGGUACAAGAUACCCACCUGAGAGAAAAGAAAAAGAAGAGCAUCUUAUUCUCCUCAUAAAGUUUCAAAAAGCAAGGAAGGUAUGUAUCCCCUCAAAGAGCAAAGUAGAAUUAGACUUUCACCAUUGUUAUCACCAUCAUCACCAUACACCAUUCAUUCGCCACACAUGCACAUCUUGAUUAAACUUAUUGAUUUGUUUCUUUGGAUCCAUGGUUUGACUAUGCAAUAAAUGUCUUGUAAGUAUGUAUACUUUAUCUCCCACCUAUGAGCUCCAGAUAUUAAAGCCUUAUUAGAGUAGGGUGAGAGAGAAGGCAAUAUCACUAUGCCUUAUACCACAAAUACUACAUAUCUUGAGAGAAGGCAUAUACAAUUACUGCCUUGGUAAGAAUCCAGAAAUACCACAAAAGAGAGACUUAGAGAAUCAUACAAGGAAUCUCUGAGUUUUAUUUGAAAAUCUGCAAAAACACCAGAGCUAUAGCUGAUCAAGAAUAAGAGACAUGGCACUUGACUAGACUGUUCUAUCUUUUAACUACUCAAGACAGAAGUGACAGUUACAAGUCCCAUGGUGAAGGUAAAGUAAGUAAGUUUUAAGUCUUGACAGUUUACUCUAACUCAGAGAUGAGAUCUUAUUUAAAAAAAGCAUGUGUACCAUCAAAUUUUAAAAAUAUUGCAACAACUUAUGAUCCAUAGCUGAGUCUAUCCUUGCUCAGGGACGAGCAAGAGGUAAGCUUGGGGGAGUUUGUUGACGGUCCUUAAGUAUCAAAUUUAAUUAUCCAAUAAAUAAAGAAAAGGAUCCAAAUGAAAUCAAUAUCUAGACUUAGGGUUUUAUCUGAUAGAAUUCCACGAGUUUUGGUGUUUGUCUAUUUCUGCAGGGGGUUAUCAGGAAAUACGGAAGAAAGGCCCACACGUCGGGAUUACAUAGAGAUAUUAACGUGCCGCACAAUUAUCUUACAUCUAGAAGACUCCAGAAGCCACGAGACCGAAGCGGAGGCGAAACGGGGCCUGACCCUGGGCGCCCGCCCAGGUGAUCAGGGCGCCCGCCCACCUCCUGAGUCCAAUCAGGACUCUGCUUCGUGGGAGAUCUCCACCGACCUAAAGGAUGAAUCUAAACCAUACAAUCUAUGUCAGUUUGAUCCAACGGCCCAUAUUCACUUGAAGGCACUAUAAAACCAGACCCCCUGGCCCCUGGAGGAGAGAGCCUCUCAACCCUAAUUCUUUGUUCUUCAAGGGAGAAGAAGCCUCUGAUCAAGAUUAGAGCCACCACAUCAAUUAGAUAUCUAGAUUAGCAUAGCUACAUAGAAUUAGAACUAGAAGGAGUCAAUCUUCGAUUGGUUUCCGGAUCUGUCAAGAGGAUUCUUGGUAAUUCUCUAAUUGUGCUUCUAAUUGCUUUCUAAUUGCUUUAAAUAUUUCAAAGGAUGUCAAGGAUGUCAGAGAUUUGGCAAUAUUCAAAGGGCACCCGCAUCGGCCAAGAAUCCUAUUAUUAAGCCUUGGCCGUUCUGGGGAUGGGCUAUUGAUCUAAUCGGCCAGAUUUAUCCACCAUCAAGUAAGGGGCAUAAUUUCAUCUUAGUUGCCACUGAUUAUUUUACUAAGUGGGUUGAAGCUACUCCUUUGAAGAAAGUAACAUCGACUAACAUGAUUGAUUUUGUGAAAGAGCAUAUUGUUUACCGAUUUGGUAUUCCUUAAACAAUCACUACCGAUCAGGGUACUAUGUUCACAUCGGGAGAGUUUGAUGAAUUUGCAAUCGGUAUGGGGAUUAAAGUAUUGAAUUCUUCUCCUUAUUAUGCUCAAGCCAAUGGACAGGCCGAAGCAUCUAACAAAGGAAAUAUUAAGCUCAUCAAAUGAAAGAUUGAAGGAAAUCCUAGGAGGUCGCAUACAUUGUUGAAUGAAGCUUUAUGGUCAUAUCGGAUGGCAUGUCAUGGAUCGACCAAAGGUUCACCUUAUCAGUUAGUGUAUGGACACGAUGCAGUGCUACCAUGGGAAAUUAAGACUGGAUCUUGGCGAAUAUCUUUUCAAGAUCAAUUGGCUGCCGAUGACUAUGCUACUUUGAUGAAAGAUGAAUUAGACGAUUUAGCAGGACAUCGGCUGAGAGCUUUGAUAAGUAUAGAAGAAAAUAAAAAGAGAGUUGCUAGGUGGUAUGAUAAAAAAAGUAAAAGCUAAGGAGUUUGUCGAUGGAGAUUUGGUAUGGAAAUUAAUUUUACCAAUUGGGACUAAAAGUUCAAAGUUUGGCAAAUGGUGUCCUAAUUGGGAAGGUCCUUAUCGGAUAAAUCGGUCUGCUCCUGGUAAUGCUUAUAUUUUGGAAACUCUCGAAGGAGUUCAAUUUCCCAGAGCAUUGAAUGGAAAAUAUUUAAAGGGGUAUUACCCAAGCAUUUGGGUUGAUGCAUAAAAGUUUAGAUGCCGAUAACACUCCUAUCGGCUGGAUCAAAUGUAUCUGGGAACUCGCAUAAUGUUUUUAAAAGUGCCGAUAACAGUCAUAUCGGCUAGACUAGAAUAAUUAGAAGUAUUUUAAAGAUGGAACAAAACAAGUUGCCGAUGAAGAGCUCAUACAUUCAGCAAGGCUUGGAUGGCCGAUAUGGUGCGUUGGCGGAUUUGGUCGGAUUCUUCUAUCUCCCGGAUGUCUUCAUCGGCAGAACCCUCCACUGGCUUUAGCUUCUUCUUCAUCUACAGCGCCUUGCGGGCCUGGAUGUUUCGUUCUUCCUGGAGAGUCUUGAUCAUCUCAGGCAGCUGGCUUUCUUCUUGCUGAGUUUGAGACAGAGCCUCCUCCACCUGUUUGAGCUCAGCUAGCAGGGUCUCCUUUCUUGUCGAUAGGUCGGAAAUCUUCUGCUUUAGUGUCUCCCCUGAAGACUGCAGAAUGCAGAUGCUCUUACGUUUCUCAUCGGCAAGGUGCUUCACUUGCAUUACCUCCUCUGAAAGUUGGGCAUGAGUGGCUCUAUCGGCAAGACGCUGGGUAGCCUUUUGGUAUUGGAGCUGACGGCUCUCCAAGUGUGCAGCUUGGAAAAGAAUCUCUUCAGCAUUGGCUAGAAUUUGGCUGCGAAGAGUCUUGAACGGGGCUUUUGCUGGAUCGGAAUCGUCAACCAAUUGAGUAGUGUCUUGGUGUAACAAGGCCAGCAGGUCCUCCAGUUUGGCUCUGAUUUCUGCCGAUGAGAUCCCUAUUGCUUGGGAGGAGCUUGCUUCCUCACCCUCAUCAUCGGAAAUAUCAAUGGCGAAAGAAAAUUAGCUGUCCGGGGAGUCUUGUUCCUGAAAGAAAAUAAGAUAAGUUAUUUGAUGAUCAGAUAUUAGUGAUAUAAAGGAUGGAAGUUAGAUAACUUACUUGCUUCAAAGCUAUUUCACGCCUCUGGCUGGUUGAUGCCGUUGGUACCAUAGGUUGAUCGGCUGGAGUUGCCGAUGGAACAAUGUAAACUGAGAAAUAAUAAGGAUAAUUAUAAUUUGAAAAAAUAAAUCCAUCGGUGAUAAUUUUAUGGAUGGUACUUUACCUUGAGGGGUGCAGUCUGCUCAAGCACAUCGGCUGGUGUUUCUUGUGGCUGAGGUGCUGAUUGAGGAGGAGAUGGUUCUUGUUGCAUCUGGAUUUCUGGUGAAGAGGGGGAUGAUUCCACAUGAUUCGGCGACACUGGACGAGAAGGAGAAGGCGGUGCUGUCUUCUGGCGUUUUGGUUGCGAUUUAGUGCUCUUGGGGCCUUUUCUCCUGACUUGACUGGACUGGGGGGCAUCGGCACUUGUUUUGGUACUUCUAGUCUUUGCUGAUUUGCCAGUUUGCUGUUACAAUAAGUAAGAUUUCAUGAGUCCAAAUAUGAAAGAAUGUUGAUGAAAAUCUUGAUAAAAGAUAAAAGUUACCGAUGAGGUUCCCAUAGCAGCCGACGUAUCCUGAAAAGAUUGUGUAAGUAUAGAAUGGAAUCGGUAUAAAUUGAGGAAAUCAAAGAUUUACCUUGAAAGCUUGUGCCAAGGUAGCAGCGGUGACCGUUGGAGAUGUCUUUGACCGCCUGGUGGUUAUCUUCUUAAAACGCACAUUCCGGUGCAUUAGAGCUGCCAGGCUUGGUGCGUUGUUGCCGAUCAGAGAAAUUGGACCUCACGGAAGGAGUUCAACCGACUUUCCACUUCUGCUGACUGUUGGUGGCAAGUUGUCGACCUGUUUGAAAAAGAGAAAGUGAGUUACCGAUAGGGGUAAAAGUAAUAGAAGAAUUGAGGUAUCGGUUGGGAACUUACAGUGUUUCCGGGAACUUAUACUUGGGGUCGAUCAUGCCGCGGUAUGUCAGAGCCGAUGUGCAGAACAGAUGUUCCUUCCACUCUUCCCGCCAUUGUUUGUGUGCUUGAGUGAUGGGAUCCAAGCCGAUAGAUCGAUAUCUGAUGUAUCGGCAUUUGGUUGAAGCUGGGCUAUCCUUAUCCAUUCGAGACCACUAGUUAUAGCUUCCCUUGGCUUCACCACAUCAGUGUAACAGAGUCCAAUUGGCAACUGCCCAAAAGCCAGUUGAUGAGCCAGUGCCGAUGGAUUGUAGAAUUCAUAGGUGGGGUUGGAGUUCUUCCCACUGCCGAAGGUGUUCACCGGAAUGGCCCUUGGUGUGAGGAUCGCCAUCAUCAAAUCAGUAUCUUUAUUAAGGGCAUCAUCGAAAGGAUGAAAGAUCAGUGGGAAUCUGGUUUCUGGGUCUUCGUAAGGCAUCCAUGCCCGCUGAUCUUUGGCAAGACCCUCAUAAAGAGUUUGGAAGAAUCGGCUGACCUAGUCUUCAUUACCACCAGUACCAGGUAAGACUAUAGCUGCCUCACCGUAAUUCAAGGGUGAGCGAGUUGCCGAUUCUUCAUCAGCCAAUUCAUGAUCUUUGGCUAUAUCUCUUGGAAAGCGCUGUGCGAAGACAUCAAAUCCAAGGCGUUUGUGCAUGUGGACACUAAGCCACAUGUUGAUGAACCACCAAGGACAUCCCAAGUUGCGGAUGGGUUGGCCUAAUAGGUGUUUCUCAGCUACUUGAUGGAGAAGGUGAUAGGCAGAGCCAAGCAAAUAUCGGCCGAGAGGAAAUCGGCCGCCAUCGGCCAGUCUUUCUGCUGCCGAUAGGACUCGUCCUGUUUUCUAGUACUUCUGAAUGUAUCCUAACCAACCGCCGAUGUUGCGGGUUUCUACUUUGGCUCAGGCUUGCGAUCAUAUAAAUGAUUAUCAUCGGCAGUUGAUAUGUCUAAACCGGUGAGCAUGAGCACAUCGAUAAGGGUAGGCGAAGCAGGGCCAUGUCCAAAUACAAAGGCAUUGAGGGUAUCUGACCAGAAGUAUGAAGCAGCUAUCAACAGCGAUUCAUUCCUCUCCAUAUCGGCAAUGGAUAGCCUAAUGCACUGAUCUAGUCUGUGCUCACCCCAUUGGACUUCGUUCGAGUUGCCGAUUCUCAGGAACCAAUCUUUCCGCAGAUCUAAUGAAAAAAAUUCUCGGGUCUAAAGGGGAUCCUAUUUGUUUCUGCGUUUAUCAAAUCGGUGGGAUCUGGAUUCCCCAAUGGACCAAGGCAUUGGAAGUGGGGUCGAUCAGUGGGAAUAACAAUUUUAUUGGCCAGUUCCUAAAGGUUUGAAUGUUGCAAAGAUAAAAAAAGGGAAAGGAAAUGCCAAGUAAGUAACCGUGCGAAAAAUCAAAAAUACGGUGAAAGGAGAUGCUGAAUUGACCUUAGGAACGACGAAGUUGAUGGCCAUUUCUUCCCGAGAGGGGGAAGGAAUCGAAGACUUGGAAGAUUGUUGGAGGAGAUCCUUGCUAGAGUUCUUGAGUUCUCGAACAGUGCCGCCGCCAGAAGGGUGGGAUUGAGGAUGGAGAAUGACAAGAUGGAGGAAGAGUACCGGAGAGGAAGUAUUUAUAAAACAAAGAAGGCAGUGGUAUUUUUGACUUGUCUCUUGGCCGUAUCUGUGAAAUCCGAGGGUGUUCAGGUGGAUAUGGUAACUGUUCGCAUGGUAAUCAAGGGAUUGCGCAGAUGAUUUGACAGCAAGCAGUCAUGAUUUUGGAGAUAUCUUAUUGUGCAAGAUCUCCUGGUCGGCUCACAGUAGUCUUAUCUAACGGAAAUAUUGCCGAUGAACGUAUACUAGGGGGAUUCGGUUCUAGAAGUUGAGGGAUUCGAGGUACGUGCUGGAAGACUGGGCUGUGGUUGUUUGGAUUUGGUAAUUAAUUACUGAUAGGAAGGAGUAAUUGCAGAAAGGCAACAUUGUUGGAGAAAAUUUCGGAGCAUUACUGAUUUUAUACUCCAAAAUUGGGGGGCAUGUGUUGACACUGUUUUUGGACACGUAUCUUUGGGCGCAUAUCUAGGAGUUAAUGAGGCGUGGAUUGGCAGGCGAAUAAAGUGGUGAUUGGUUGAAGGAAGAGUUGCCGAUGAGAGUUAAUGCCGAUGAUAAAAUACAGGAUGUGGUCAAGUCCAAGAGUGGUGAUAAAUCUGUGCCGAUGACUGAUGUUGAUGGGUGCCGAUGGCUUCUAAAGGUGAUUAGCCGAUGAACACAAAAGGAGGCGCAGGGAGUGUCUAACGGAUGGUAAUGGUAUGUCGAUCGGUUGUGGUGGAUAGAUUAAUGUUUUCCAUAGUUUUUAGAGUUUGCUUUGCAUACGGAUUCCGUUCAAUUUAGAAUUCGAAUCCUAGUCGUGUUUGGUUGUAACUCUUUUGGACAGGGUAUAAAUGUGGACCCUACGGCAAUGUAAUAUACACAAUCAAUCAAACACAAGUUUUUACAUCUAUUCCAGCAUCUACUUUUUCGACGACUUCAUCAAUUUGCAUAUUUUCCUUUUACUACAAGUUCUUUGGAAUUCUUCGAGUCAACCUCGGCAAGUUCUUGAGUUCCGCCUGAAUACCUCUUGGCCGUGACAUCUGGGUGCAUCGCUGUUGUCGGGACCAAAGUAUUCGAGUUAUCACCUUUGUCGAUUGUACGGUGAAAUCGGCUGGCACGCCUUAACGUUGAAUCGGGUAUUUGCCCUUUGUGUUUGCAGAUCUACUUUUGCAUCAACAAUCAUUACUUCGAAAAUAUCCUCCUUGAUUUUGGCAUUCACAUUAAUAGUGAGUAAAACAUGCUUUGAGUUACAAUCUCAUUUCAUCCAAUCAAAUAAGUCAUCAUGUUUAGUUCUUUAUGCUUGUUCCUAAGAAUCACUUUCUUGAUCUUGUAGUUUUUAAUUCAAUGAUCUAAAAUAUUGCACAUCCUAUCUUUGGAAGAUGAUAGUCAUAAUUACGAAGUUAAAUUCAUAGAUAGACCAUCCUUCCAUAAUGUUGAAUAAUUUGAUCAGCCAAGUGUUUUAAUGCUACAAACUUGCUUAUCAUUUGUUCCUGUCACCCAUGUUUAGAUUGAGAAAAACACAUAAACAUCAACUUUAUCUCAUUCAAUGUGCCAAAGGAUAGAGUUUAAUAAAUAAACCUUUUGGUUUUGUUGGUGUUUUCCCACGAACAGAGCCCAUGCACUUGAUCUCUGCCUUAUCUCUAUGAGCAGGACACACUUUAGUCAACUCCCCGAGAAUCCUACAAGUGAAGAUCCUAGACCUGUGAACAUGCACUUUGAGUGAAGAUGUUGCUAGCUCCCAGAACUAGUACUUGACUCCAACCCAUUGGAGAAGCAAUAAACAUAGGUGACACCAUCUCAAGGGGUGCAAUUAUUAUGGUCUCCACCUUUGGGACCAGAUAAAGCACCUAAGAAUUAAUAUGGUAAGAGGUCCUGUUCGGAGGACUUAAAAUCACCGAAUGCCAUGCCACGAGGUAACUUGAUAUUUACCUGCAUUUUCCUUUAAGAAUAUUUAUUUUUCUUAACUGCAUUAGUAGUUGCAUCUUUAUUGUUUAUGCAUUAGAAAAGAAAAUAAAUAUGUAUUGCAUUGCAUUUAGAAAACUACUAAGCCCUAUGUAUUGAAUAUGUGAUGCAACAGCUUACAUACUUAUCUACUGUGGUGGCACAAAACUAAGUUUUUAUUUUCCUAUCUACAUACUAUAAAUAUGAAAGUAUUAAAAAAUAUAUUGAUCCUGCUAAAAGAUAAAUUGGUAUAAGAAAGUUCUAGACUCUCAAAGCUUAGAGGUUUAUUACUAAUGCUUAAUCAGUUCCACAAGCUUUGUUGUCAAUUUGAGCUUCAUAGGCUUCAAAGGAUCAAAAAGAACUAACAGGCAGAAGGACAGAAGGACGUCAUGUGCCCUAUCGGAGUACUGUUCACAUGAGGCAAGUGCUGCUUCUGACAGCAAGUACCUACGAUACUCGAGAAGGAUCAGUACGUCUUCACUGCCCGUCAGCAAUCUCAAUAGCUAUGUCAACAUGCAGCUUGGGGGAGAGCAACCCGCGUAAAUCGAGCAAGUAUCCCUUACUCACUUAUCUAUUUAUUCCUAUUGCGUUAUGAUAAGAUAAAAAGAUGAAAUCUUAGAAAUCCAAUAAAUGUUUUAUCUUUCAUAAUUAAUCUUGCUAGGAGUGCUUCUAAUGAAUCUGUUAAGACGAACCUCUAGAAUUAACUAUUAUAUGGACAUGAUGAAUAGUUGCUCUACCGUAAUUCCUUCCAAGUACCUAGUUUUCAAACUUGUACUCACUUGAGUUUUAGGCACAACUGUUAGGACUUAAGAUUUGCUCUGAGCCUAAAACUUAUGUGUAGAAAAUGCUUGAUCUAAGUCUAGGUAGUUGACAGAUAUGAUAUGGGAAGGUUUUGAGCUGCUGUCAAUCUUGCUCCUAGAGAUGCUAGAAUUCUAGAGAAUUUUAUUUUGAAAAUCUUAAAUUGCUACAUGAUGAGUUCCUUUAUGACGAGAGUUUUAAAAUUCCUACCACAGCUAAAUACUCAUGCUUACUAGAUUAGGAAACCUCCACUUAUAUUUCAACCUAUAAGCAUUGAGAUUAGUUAAGCUGUGUAGACCCUAUGGAACUAGUCAUGUAGUUAAAGUCAAUAUUAUGUGCUCUCCAUCUAUUGAACUUAGCUACUUCUGUCCUCAGAAGUAUGCAACCACUUUCAUCCACCACAUUCACUAUGUGCUACUUCUAUUCCUAGAAGUACCACCCACAUAUACGCACUACACUCUAUGUUGUUUCUAUCCUAGAGACACGCACCUAUGCUGCUCCUACUUUAGGAGUACGCAUUACUUCAUUCACCCACACACAUUCCACAUCCACUUAGAAAAUAUUCUACCCCUACACUGGGAGAAGACACCUAAAAAUAUUCAAUGUCUUAUUCUACUUAACCAAUAAAGCCCCAGUUUCCCCAGUUGAUACUCCCUACGGUUAUCAUUUAAUUAAAAGAUAUGGCUGAUCUCUAAAAAAAGAAAAAAAAAAGAGAAAAAAGAAAAAAAAAUAAAGAAAGAGGACAAAAGUUCCAAUGAAAAAGAAAAGAAAGACAGCCAAAUCCUUGUUCUCGGAUUAGGGAAGUAUGUUAUCCCCAAGGAGCAAAUAUAGAAUUAGAUAUUCACAAUCAGUUAUCACCCCUCAUUACCACUUUCAUUCUUAUCAUUCACUUCAUUCACUACACUCACAUGCACAUAUGACUUGAUUGUAUAAUUAGUUUCUCUAGAUCCAUGGUUUAACUAUGCAAUAUAUGCAAGUAGGUUUGAACUGUCUUUCCCACCUAUGAACUCCACAUAAGCCAAUUAGAGGUAGGGUAAGGGUUACCUAUUUUAUACCAUCAACUAUUGCUCAAUAUAAUACGAUAUCAUCCAUAAAGCAUAGUUGUAGGGUUUGAUUCUAACGAGUUCCACGAGUUUUGGUGUUCUCACUUGUUUUGUGGGAAUUUGCAAUUUUCCAUCAAAUAAAACUACGUCAGAUGAUAAUUUGGACUACACCUUUGUGGCAUAUCAUAUGCUAUAUUUGGAGUCCGGAGUGAAAAGAUAUUAAUUUUACAAAUAAAAGAGAAUUAUCACUAAUGGGCCCCACACCCAAGCAAGGCACAUCACGUGAGAAGAGGCUCAUAUGGCAUGAUAGAGGCCCAUGAGAGGCGCCCCAAGCUGCUCCGUUGAGUGGGCUCAUAUGAUGGGUGUUUUGAAGGCUCAAGUUGAUGUAUAAUAGCGCAACAGAGCAAACGGUGGAAGAAUUAGUCCCACAUCGCCUGUCUAGAAGAGGUUGGAGGCUUUUCUAGGCUAUAAAUAAAGAGGCAGACACGCUCCCUAUGGCACCACAUUAUGGAGAUGUAGAGUUGUCCCUCGAAUGGAUAACCUCUCACCUCUAGAGAAUUAAGAUUAAACUUUCCAAUGUAGUAGAUUUGUUCUAGUUGAGAGUUAGGGAGAGCGGCGCUACGCCUGGGUUCUGGAGGAGUCUUGAGUCAUCAGAGUUCUGGUAUAUCUUUGUAUCUUUUCUUGUAAGGCUUAUGCUUUAAUAUAUUUAAUCUUCUCUUUUUACUUUUAUGCAUUAAUUUGAUUGGUUAGUAUAGUUAUACUUUAGCAUGGGAUCUCCGCUCGCAUCGGGUGCUCUAGUUAUUAAUUAUGAUUAGAGUAGUAAUUUGUAUUAGAGACAUGGUGUCUAGACUAUAGGUUACCUGAGAUUGCACCCAGUUCUACAGAUUGUUGUGGUAGCCCCAGGGGUGACAGCCUUGACGGCCGACGUAUUCCACCACGUUUGGAUUGGUGUUGUAGGACCAUAGUCAGAGCUUCCUAGUCCCCUUCUCAUCUUUCCGUGACUAGUGUUCUGAUGUCCCGAAGUGUUAUUGUGUGAUUGCUUUACCUAUCAUGAAUCAGUUAUUAUAGAACCCUAAUAAUAGAGAACUAUUUAGGAACCUUAAACUCUCCUAUUAUCCCUCAGUUUAGCUAUCUACUCUUUUAUCAUAGAAUUCUCCGGUGUGUGUCAUAUAUGCAUAAUUCCUACCAUCUAUUAUUUACCCCUACUUCAGUCUAGUUGGUGUCUUAGUUAGUAGAUACAUGAUGAUGAACUAUCAAUAUCUUUAUUCAUUGUUUCCCAGUGGUAAAAUAUAAAUAACGAUACCUAGAAUACUCCCGGUACAAUGCCUCAAUGGUCUUCUGUGCGCUUGCGGAAUCCUUCAUAUUUUAAUUGUGCAUAAGAAAUACCAACUGUACCUAGGCUAGGUUUACUUUUGGAUAUCCCCUCAUCAGCCGGACAGUGGUAGUUCGUAUAGGUGACUUUAUAGCUACGCUGAUUCCUCUGUAGUCCACUUCCUAUUGAUAGGACUCAUAGGCUUAUAGGUGCCUGGUAGGAGAUUAAUCUGAUUCUUCUCCUAUUCGGGUUACUUGCUCGAUAAGAUGAUAUUAUACAAGGUUUACCGGAGUCAAAACCAGAGUGGACUAGCUAUUUCCUUUUUCUUGAUAUGAUCUAGCCUAAUUGUAGGGUUAAGUCUAUAUACUUUGUCAUCAUCACAGUUGUUCCCUGUGGAUACGAUAUUUAAAACCUCCAGGUAAAAUGUGACACUGGUAUGAUAUCUGUGCGCUUGCGGAUAAUCCUACUUAAAUCUAUUUAAAUGGAGUGCAGUUAAUUUAUACUAACAAGCAUUUUUGGCAUAGUUGUCGGGAACGGUUUGCUAUUUUUGACUUAGUUUAGCUUAAUAUUGUAUUAUUGUUGAUGCAAAAGUGGAUCUUCAAACACAAAGGGCUAAUACCCGAUUCAAUGUUAAGGCGUGUCAGCCGAUUUGACCUUACAACCGACAAAGGUGGUAACUCUUAUAAUUUGGUCCCGACAACAGCGAUGCGCCCGGAUUUCACGGCCAAGAGGUAUUCACGCAGAACUUGAGAACUCGUCGAGUAUAACUCGAUGAAUUCUUAAGAACUCGUAAGUAAAGGAAAAUAUGCGAGUUGACGAAGUUGUUGAAAAAGUAGAUGCAAAAGUAGAUAUAAAAGUUGUGUAUAGUAUUGAUUGAUUCAUCUCUUACAUCGCUAUUAGGUCUAUAUUUAUACUCUGUCCUAAAGAGAUACAACCAGAUACGACUAGGAUUCUAAUCCCAAAUCAAACAGAACUCAUGCAUAAAAUAAAAUUUAACAAUUAUGGAAAAUAACAAUUCAUCCAUCCUGGGUGAUCGGCACACCACCAUUGUCCUCCCGAUGAUUCCGACGUCUUCUUUCACCAUCAUCGGCAUUUCAUCUUCCAUCGCCAUCGGCAAUCAUCAAUAUCAACCAUCGGCACCGAUCAUCCACUAUUCCUGGAAUUAACCAUAUCUUCCUUCUGUCAUCAGUAUAGGUCAUCGGCAACUUCCUUAUCGGUCAAUCAUUACUUUUCUAGCUGCCAAUUUAAGCUUCAUUAACUUUCCUAGUAUGUGUCCAAAAACGGUGUCAACAUAUGCCCCCCAAUUUUGGAGUAUAAAAUCAUUAAUGCUCCAAAAUUCUCUCCUGAUAAUGACGCCCUUUUCACAAUUAUUUCCUUCUGACAACAAUUUAUUGCCGAAUCCAAAUAACCAUAAUUUGGGAUUCCAGCAUGCACCUCGAAUUUCUCAACCACCCGAACCAAAUCUCCUAAACACUCGCUCAUUGGCAACUGUUAUGUUAGAGUUGACUGCCGAUGAGCCGACCAAGAGAUCUUGCACAGUGAAAUAUCUCCUAAAAUCAUGAUUACUUGCUGUCCAAUCACCUGCACAAUCCCUUGAUUAUCGCGCAAACAGUUACCAUAUCCACCUGAACACCCUCAAAUUUUAUGGAUAUGGCAAAGAGAUAAGUUAGAAAUACCCCUGCUCACUAUAUCCUAUAAAUACCUCCUUCCUCAGCACUCCUUCUCCAUCUUGUGAUCCUUCAUCCCCAAACUCAUCUCUCUAGCGGCAGUAUUAACGAAGAGCUCAAGAAUCCCAGCAAAACUUCCCCAAAAAUCUUUCAAGUCUUUGAUUUUUCUCAUCCUCAGGAAGAAAUGGUUGUCAACUUCAUCGUCCCUGAGGUGAAUCUAUUCCCAUCUUCUUCCUUUACUGCACCCCUUUACUUUUUUGGAAGUCUACUUACUUAGCAUUUUUCUCCCUUUCUUUUCCUUCUGUUCUUCCAAUCUUCAAACAUUAGGAAUUAAGCGAAAAAAUCACCAUUCCCACUGAACAACACCACCUUCAAUGUCUCGGUCCGAUGGGUGAUCCAGAUCCUACCGAUCGGAUCAAUGCAGAAACUAAUAGGAUCCCUUUUAGAGCUGAGAGUUUUUCUUUAGAUAUGUGGAAGGAUACUUUUCAAUCCUAGCGAAACCCUACCAAAGGAUGGAAAGAUUGGUUUUUCAGGGUCAGUAAAACGAAUGAAGUUUAUUGGGGUGAACGCAAAAUAGACCAGUGCAUCAGGCUUUCCGUUGCCGAUAUGGAAAGAAAUGAGUCAAUGCUGAUAGCUGCCUCAUACUUCUGGUCAGACACUUUUAAUGCUUUCAUUUUCGGCCAUGGCUUAGCUUCCCCCACUCUUGCUGAUGUAGUGAUGCUAACCGGUUCGGACAUUGCCACUGCCGAUAAUGGUCAGCUUUUCGGCCGUAAAGCCAAACAGAAAGUAGAAACCCGCAACAUGGUUAGGAUACAUUCAGAAAUAUCAGUGAACGGGAGAAGUUGGUCAGAGAGACCAUGCCACUUUUCUGAACAUGUGGCUAGACAAAUUCAUCUUCUACUGCUGAUCGGUAGGACCAACCUCAGUCUACUUAUCGGCAGCAGAGAUGCUAGCCAAUGGUAACCGAUUCCCCCUUGGCUGAUAUCUGUUAGGCUCUGUCUACCAUCUCCUUCAUCAAGUAGUCAAGAAACUCUUGUUAGGGGAAUACAUCGGCAAUCUAGGAGGCCCUUGGUGGUUCAUCAACAUGUGGCUCAACGUUCAUAUGCACAAACAUCUUCGGUUUGACUUUUUCGCACAACAAUUCCCUUGAGAUAUUGUCGAAGACUACGAACUAGUAGAUGACGAAUCAGCAACUCGCUCACCCCUCAAUUAUGGUGAAGCUGUUAUAGUUCUCCCUGGUACCGGUUCCAAUGAAAAUCAGAUCAGCCGAUUCUUUCAAACUUUAUACGAUGGCCAUUCUAAAGAUCCGCGAGCAUGGAUGCCUUAUGAAGACCAGAGACUAGAUUUCCGCUCACUUUCCAUCCUUUUGAUAAUGCUCUUAACAAAGAUAAUGAUCUGAUGAUGACAAUCAUCACCCCAAGAGCAAUUUUAGUGAACAGCUUCGGCAGUGGAAAGAACAUCAACACCACCUAUGAGUUUUACAACCCAUCAGCACUGGCUCGCCAACUGGCCUUUGGUCCACUGUCGAUCAGACUUUGUUAUGCCGAUAUUGUAAAACCAAGAGAGACAAUAACCAGUGGACUUGAGUGGAUCAGGAUAGCUCAACUCUAGCCAGACACCAAUAUGACAGACAUCGAUCUAUCGGCUUGGGUUCCAGCUCUCUUUAUCACCAAGUUAUACAAACAUUGGUGGGAAGAAUGGAAGGAGCAUCUGUUUAGGGUAUCGACCCAUAUGUACCGCAACAUGAUUGACUCUAAUUAUGAAGUUCCCGAUAAUGUGGUAAGUUCCCUGCUGAUACCUAAGUUCCUUUCUCAAUUUUAACUUCAUCGGUAACUCAACCUUUUCCAUCUCAAUAGGUUGAUAACCCAGCACCAACAGUGAGUAGAAGCGGAAGGCCGAUCGAGCUCCUCCAAUCGGGCCCAAUCUCUUUGAUCGGCUAUAAUGCACCAAGUCUAGUAGCUUUGAUGUACCAGAACAUACGCUUUAAAAAGACGACCACCAAACGGUCGAAAAUGUCUCCAUCGGUCGCUGCUGCCACUCCGCCCCGUCCAGCAUCCUUGAUCCAAGUAGCACCUUUACCUCCUCAAUCAGAGCCCCAGGCGCAAGAAGUACCGUCUCCCCCUCGAUCAAUACCUCAGCCGCAAGAAACACUAACCGAUGUAUCUGGACAGAUCACCGACCCGAAUGAUUUGGGCACAUCAUCGGUCAUCCUCCCAGAUCAGACAGUCACUGUACCUCCUCAACGUAAGGUACCGAUUACAGAAUCAUUACCGAUGAAUUUAUCUAUAAAUUCCAUCAUCACCCCUGGCAACUUUCAGCCGAAGAUAUUCCAUCGGCAGCCCCAACCGAUCAAACUAUAAUACCAGCUGCAUCUCCACGCCAGAGAUGAGAUCGCCUUGAAGCAAGUAAGUCACCCAAUUCACCAGAUUUUGUACUGUCAACACUUAAUUUCGAGUAACUUAUCUUCUUCCUUUUCCAGGAGCAAGAUUGUCCCGAUAGCCUAUUCUCUUUCGCUAUCGAUAUCUCUGACGACGAAGGUGAAGAAGCAAGUUCCUCAUAGGCAGUUGGAAUCACAUCGGUAGAGAUCAAGGCCAAGCUGGAAGAUUUACUAGCCCUGUUGCAUCAAGACACAGCCCAGCUAGUGGAUGAUUCCGAUAUGGCCAAAACCAUAUUCAAGACCCUCCGUGGUCAGAUUCCAGUCGAUGCAGAAGAAAUACUUUUCCAAGCUGCCCACUUAGAAAGUCGCCAACUCCAGUAUCAGAAGGCUACACAACGCCUUGCCGAUAGAGCUGCUCAUGUGAAAGGUCCUAAUAUGGCUAGAGGGGGGGUGAAUAGCCUAUUUAAAAAUCUACAAACUCACUAGAGCAAGAGGUUAGUAAAUAACAAAGCGAAGCUUUUUGCUCUAGCUCUAAUGGGGUGUUUGCAAGCCACCUAUCCAACAAUUAUAGUUGAUAUAAUCACUAGGCACACAAGAGCUAUGUCACUACUUUACACUAGAAAGCUACCUAAAGUUUCUACACAAGUAAGUAAGCUACUCUAGUUUGCGGGAAUGUAAAAGAGAUGGUUUGAACUUUAUACCGCCGCGUAGAGGAUGAACCAAUCACCAAUAUAAACAAUCAAGCACCGGGAGAAUUCCAAUCAAACACAAUUGAGACACUGAUUUUUCUCCCGAGGUUCACGUGCUUGCCGGCACGCUACGUCCCCGUUGUGUCGACCAACACUUGGUGGUUCGGUGGCUAAGAGGUGUAGCACGAACCUCGUCCUCACUAGGACACCACAAGAACCUACCCACAAGUGAGGUAACUCAAUGACACGAGCAAUCCACUAGAGUUACCUUUCGGCUCUCCGCCGGGGAAGGUACAAGACCCCUCACAAUCACCGGGAGAUGGCCACGAACAAUCACCAACUCGUGCCAAUCCUCCUCCGCUGCUCCAAGCCGUCUAGGUGGCGGCAACCACCAAGAGUAACAAGAAAACCGCAGCCAAAACGAUCCCCAAGUGCCACUAGAUGCAAUCACUCAAGCAAAUGCACUUGGAAUCACUCCCAAUCUCACAAAGAUGUUUGAUCUAUGAAGGAGAUGAGUGGGAGGUGUUUGCUUAGGCUCACAAGGAUGUCAAGUAUGUUAGAAUGCCAGGAGAGACAGCCCCAAGCCAGCCAAACACGUAUUUAUAGCCCCUCAAACAAAUAGAGCCGUUGGCUCUUUCACUGGGCGAAAUACGGGGUCACCGGACGCUCUUAAAGGGGCACCGGACGCUCAACACCAGCGUCCGGUGCUCCAACGUCAGCCACGUGUCACGCUCGUGUCAGAAUCUAACGGUCACCUGCAGUGCACCGGACGCUGAGCAAGUGAGCACCGGACUCAUGCGCAGAGAGCUCCGCAAACUUGCAGGGUCACCGGACGCAAGUCACCGGACGCACCAUCAGCGUCCGGUGCUCACCGGACUCACGCGCAGAGAGGGUCGCAAAACGCCCGCACACCGGACGCUAACCACCGGACACUGAAGCCAGCGUCCGGUGCCUAUCGUCCGGUGCCUUACCCUAGCUGGGCCAGGCACUGUCUGCACCGGACGCUCAGACGCAGCGUCCGGUGCUCCAGAAGCCAGCGUCCGGUGAGUGUUUUCUCAGCGAGAAACACUCCCACGACUUCUCCAAAUUUCCCACCGGCGCAAUAGAAAAUAUGCACUUCAUUUUCUCGAAAAGCGCCGAAUCCCGCCUCGCAAGCUCGGCGGGAGGGAGAGAGGAACCCAUCCUCUCUCUAACCUUCAAACUCCACCUCCUUCUCAAAGCGUGCCAACACCACAAAGUGUAAACCAACAUGUGCAUGUGUGUUAGCAUUUUCACAACAUUUUCUUCGAAGGAGAUAAGUUAGCUCACUAGGUUCUAAAUGCAUGCACAUGAACAAUGACACCUAGUGGCACUUGAUAACCGCUUAGCCAAAGAAUUCCCCUCUUUAUAGUACGGCUAUCUAUCCUAAAUGUGAUCACACCCUCUAUGGUGUCUUGAUCACCAAAACCAAAACCCUAAGCAAUACCUUUGCCUUGAUCUCCAUAGGGUUUUGUUUUUCUCUUUCUUCUUUUCCAAGUUGAGCACUUGAUCACCUUGUGGUCAUCACCAUCAUCACCAUGAUCAUCUCUUGCUCCAUCACUUGGCAUGUACCAACCUCAUUAAGUCUACACACACUUAGCAUAGAGGUUAGUACUAGGGUUUCAUCAAUUAUCCAAAACCAAACUAGGGCUUUCAAUCUCCCCCUUUUUGGUAAUUGAUGACAACCCUUUUUACAAAGAUUUUCAAUAAAAUUUUCUAGGAUUCAUGUUGCUUGCCCAAGCAUUUUACCAUGUGCAAAGGUUAUGGACAAGUUUCAUAAACCCAUAUUGGUAGCAAUUGCUCCCCCUACAUAUGUGCUAAGAGUUUGGAUUUGAAAGCUUGCACAUAUGCUUGAAUAGGAAAUAUAGGAGUCAAUUUCUACCAAAUGAUGCUAAGGUGUAAAGAAUGGACCUUUGAAGCGUGAUACCAAUCGGAGUUGCCAAUGUAUACCAUCCUUAGCACCAUUAGUAACUAGACAUUCACAAAAACUAGAACACUCCGUGAGAUCAACAUUAUAAACAAGGUUCUAGAGGUUCUAGUACCACUUGUGAAACAACUGAAAGUCUAGUUACACUACCUAUGCAUGCUAGUUCUUCAUUUCAUCAAUCAAACCUAUAACUAGCAUACACCACACAAGCAAGGUAUCGGAGAGAAAGCUUCUAAAGCUAAUGCAAAUGCAAGCAACCAUAUGUGAUGCACAUACAAAUGCAACAUACAAGUUUAUGAGCUUGCUCCCCCUACUUGUGUGCUUCAAAAUUUUAAUUAAUCCCCUUCUUUUAUCAUGUUACUCCCCUAUCUUAAAUCUUUGGGAAAUUUUCUCCCCCUUUGUCAUCAAAGACCACAAAAGGUGAGCUCAAAUUUUAGAUAAGUUUGUGUGAAACCAUAUGAAGUGAGAUCAUUUUACCAAAUUGGUUCAAUCUAGAUUACUUGCCUAAGAUAUUUAACUCGGUUUGAUCCAAGGACAAGCUUCUUCACACCUCCAAAUAAGGGUUAUCUUGUACCAUGUUGAGUUAAACACUUAUAGCUCAUAUUCUAGAUCAAACACUAGGAUUGCAAGCCCACAAACGUGUCAUAUGCUACCACUAGAUAAAGUCCAGCAUAGAAGCAAUAGUGGUACCAUACAAGCAUCAAAUUCAUUUGAUUUUCAUGAAUGAGACUAAGACAUGUAAGGAAUGACUAGAUGCACUAAGCAAGUCCUUAGCAUAGCAUGGAUGACAUGUCAAACAAUUUUACCUUGCUUUGCUCGAAGGAGAGGCAUGUCAUAAAGUGGGGGUGCAUCAACACAUAUUUGAGAAGUCAAGUAUGUUCAAUUCAUUCCUUAGCUUGCAAAACCUCUUCUCAUCAAGUGGCUUGGUGAAGAUGUCGGCAAGUUGAUCAUCGGUGCCUAUACUCUCAAUGCAAAUGUCCCCUUUUUGUUGGUGAUCUCUUAUGAAGUGAUGGCGGACAUCUAUGUGCUUUGUUCUUGAGUGUUGAACCGGAUUGUUGGUGAGCUUCACGGCACUUUCAUUGUCACAUAGCAAGGGCACUUGUUUGAAGUUGAUUCCAAAGUCCUUCAAUGUUGCCUUCAUCCAUAAGAUUUGUGCACAACAACUACCGGCCGCAAUGUACUCCGCUUCGGCGGUUGAUAAUGCAACACUAUUUUGCUUCUUGGAUGACCAUGAGACAAGUGAUCUUCCCAAUAGUUGACAUGUGCCCGAUGUGCUUCUUCUUUCAACUUUGCAUCCCGCAUAGUCCGAAUCGGAAUAUCCAACAAGUUCAAACUUUGCACCUUUGGGAUACCACAAACCAACAUUUUGUGUAUGCUUCAAGUACCUCAAUAUUCUCUUUGUUGCCUUCAAAUGACUUUCUCUUGGUGAGGCUUGGAAUCUUGCACACAUGCAUACACUAAACAUGACAUCCGGUCUUGAUGCGGUCACAUAGAGUAGGCUUCCAAUCAUAGACCGAUACAACUUUUGAUCCACCAUAUUUCCACUUGUAUCAUUAUCUAAGCUUCCAUUUGUUCCCAUUGGAGUGCUAAUUGACUUUGCAUCAUCCAUACCAAACUUCUUGAGCAUGUCUUUUAUAUACUUGCCUUGACUCACAAAUGUGCCAUUCUUCAAUUGCUUGAUUUGAAGACCAAGGAAGUAACUAAGCUCUCCAAUCAUUGACAUCUCAAACUCUUUAGCCAUCAUGUUGCCAAACUCUUCACAAAAUUCUUGAUUGGUUGAUCCAAAUAUGAUAUCAUCAACAUAGAUUUGCAACACAAACAAGUCUUUGCCAAUCUUCUUGGUGAAGAGAGUGGUGUCAACCUUGCCCAUCUUGAAACCUUUAGAGAGUAAGAAAUCUCUCAAUCUCUCAUACCAUGCUCUAGGUGCUUGCUUCAAACCAUACAAUGCCUUUCUUAGCUUGUAAACAUGGUUGGGUUUCUUGUCAUCUUCAAAACCGGGAGGUUGCUCAACAUAGACUUCUUCAUUGAUAUAUCCAUUGAGAAAUGCACUCUUGACAUCCAUUUGGUAUAGCUUGAUGUUAUGAGCACAAGCAUAGGCCAACAAGAUCCUAAUUGCUUCCAAUCUUGCAACCGGGGCAUAUGUUUCACCAAAGUCAAGACCUUCAACUUGAGUGUAACCUUGUGCUACCAAUCUUGCUUUGUUCCUUACAACUAUCCCAUCUUGAUCUUGUUUGUUGCGAAAGACCCAUCUAGUACCAAUGACAUUGUGAUCACUAGGCCUUUCAACUAAUUCCCAUACUUGAUUUCUUUUGAAAUUGUUAAGCUCUUCAUGCAUAGCAUUGACCCAAUCAACAUCUCUCAAUGCUUCAUCAAUCUUCUUUGGCUCAAUGUGAGACACAAAGGAGAAAUGCUCACAAAAUGAUGCUAGUCUUGAUCUAGUUUGCACUCCUCUUUGAAUAUCACCUAUGAUAUGGUCCAAUGGAUGAUCUCUUGCAAUAUUUGUUGGUUGGAGUAUUUGCACUUGAUUGCUUGCACUUGGUUGAUCAUGAGAUGAUGUACUAGCUUGUUGAUCUUGCACUUGUGUACCACUUGUACUAGCUUGAUUUUGAUCAUGAGAACCACUAGCUUGCACAUUAUAGGUAGGAAGCACUUGAUCUUUAUCAUCUUCAACAUCAAUCACCUCUCUAGGCCUUAAAUCACCAAUGUCCAUAUUCUUCAUUGCAUCGGCCAAUUGAGUGCCUCUCACAUCAUCUAGAUUUUCUUCUUCCUCUUGAGAGCCAUUGGUUUCAUCAAACUCAACAUCAUGCACCUCCUCAAGAGUACCACUAGCCAAAUUCCACACUCUAUAAGCUUUGCUAGUAGUGGAGUAACCAAGCAGGAAGCCUUCAUCACAUUUCUUUUCAAAUUUACUCAAUCUAGUGCCUUUCUUUAAUAUAUAGCAUUUGCAACCAAAAACCCGAAAGUAUGCAAUGUUGGGCUUUCUUCCAUUCAAGAGCUCAUAUGGAGUCUUCUCCAUCAUUGGGUGACAAUAAAGUCGGUUGCUAUAGUAGCAAGCCGUGUUGAUUGCUUCGGCCCAAAAAGAAUGACUAACAUUGUAUUCACUCAACAUUGAUCUUGCCAUGUCAAUCAAGGUUCUAUUCUUCCUCUCAACAAGACCAUUUGAUUGUGGAGUGUACUUGGCCGAGAAUUGAUGCCUAAUGCCAAAUUCAUCACAAAGCUCAUCAACUCUUGUAUUCUUGAAUUCACUUCCAUUGUCACUUCUCACUUUCUUGAUGGUUGUUUCAAACUCAUUGUGUAUUCUCUUGACAAAUGAUUUGAAGGUUGCAAAAGCAUCACUCUUGUCACUAAGAAAGAAUACCCAUGUGUAUCUUGUGAAAUCAUCCACUAUCACAAAUCCAUAUUUAUUUCCACCAAUGCUUGUGUAUGUGGUUGGUCCAAAUAGAUCCAUGUGCAACAACUCAAAUGCCUUGCAUGUACUCAUGAUACUUUUCUUUGGAUGAGUGUUGCCAACUUGUUUUCCGGCUUGACAUGCACUACAAAGCUUGUCUUUCUCAAAUGUGACAUCUUUCAAGCCUCUAACAAGAUCAUGCUUGACUAACUUGUUCAAUUGUUUCAUACCAACAUGACCAAGCCUUCUAUGCCAUAACCAACCCAUGCUAGAUUUAGUGAGCAAGCAUGUUGACAAUUGAGCUUCACUAGCAUUGAAAUCAACCAAGUAUAGAUUCUCAUAUCUAAAGCCUUUGAAUAUCAAGUUAGAGCCAUCUACACUUAUGAUUUCUACAUCAUCAACUCCAAAUAUGCAUUUGAAACCAAGAUCACAAAGUUGAGCUACGGAUAGCAAGUUGAAGUUCAAGCUCUCUACUAGUAGCACAUUGGAAAUGCUCAAGUCAUUGGAUAUAGCAAUUUUACCAAGCCCUUUGACCUUGCCUUUGCCAUUGUCACCAAAUGUGAUACUAUCAACACCAUUGUCAUCAUUUGACUUGAUUGAAUUGAACAUUCUUGAAUCACCGGUCAUGUGUUGUGUGCACCCACUAUCAAGCACCCAAUGCCUUCCUCCGGCUUUAUAGUUUACCUACAAAACAAAUCAAUGUUUCUUAGGUACCCAUACUUGUUUGGGUCCUUGGAGGUUAGUGACUAAGCUCUUUGGUACCCAAAUGGCCUUCUUCUUUGGACCCACAAUUGGUGUACCAAUAAACUUAGCCUGCACACCCUUCUCACCCUUGGUAAGCACAUAACAAGAAUCAAAAGGAAUGUAAGACACGUUAGCAUUUUUCUUGUUCUUGUUAAUUUUGUUGCAAUUAUGCUCUAGGUGCCCAACUUGCUUGCAUUUGUUGCAAUAUCGACCAUUGCUUUUCACAAAGCUAGGCUUGUGAGUUGCAAAGGCUUUCUUGCUCUUCUUGGGGGUAUAGCCUAAUCCCUCUUUGUUGAGAGAAAACUUUUGGCUACCCAAGCACUUUAGCAAGCGGGCCUCACCACCAUAGGCUUUGCCUAGGGCGUGAGUGAGCUCAUUCACCUCUCUCUUGAGAGUCUCAUUCUCAACCUUUAGUGAGGUAUCACAAGUGACACUAACACUAGAAGUAGAGGUAGAGUUGAUGGUGGUGGAUGAAGACCUACAUGAAGAGUUAGUGGCAGCAACAAUAGGUGAGUUGGGUGAUUCUUUAAUUAAGUCACAUGUUGUGCCCACAUCACAUGAUAUAACAACCUUUUCCUUGUUCUCUUCUAACAACAAAGAGUGAGCUUUCUCAAGCUUGGUGUGAGCCUUGCCAAGCUUCUCAUGGGCUUCCACUAGCCUCUCAUGAUUAGCAUUGAGCUCAUCAAAGGAUUGCUCAAGAGCUUUUAACUUCUUGGCCAAUUCUUUGCACUUCUUGUUUUUAGAUUGAAUGAGAGAAUCGGCUUGUUCUAACAUGUCCAUGAGUUGUUCAUUAGUGAAUUCAUUUUCAUCAUCACUAUCACUAUCAUGUUCAUGUUCACUUUCACUUUCACUCUCAUCAUAUUGUACCUUGUGGCCCUUGGCCAUGAAGCAUGAAGGAGUGUCGAAGAGUGAUGGCUUGUUGUUGAUAGCAAUGCUUGCAAGCGCCUUCUUCUUGGAUACCUUGUCAUCAUCACUAGAAUCAUCAUCCGAAGAAGCAUCACUAUCCCAUGUCACAACAUAGGAUCCACCCUUCUUCUUCUUCUUGAAGACCAUCUUCUUUUCUUUCUUUUCUUUCUUCUCCUUCUUGUUCUUCUUCUCAUGCUCGUCAUGAUCACUAUUGUAUGGACAAUCCGCCACAAUAUGAUCGGGACUCUUGCACUUGUAGCAUAGCCUCACAUAUUCCUUGUUCUUGGAGUUGUCCCUUCUCUUUCUUGUAUGGUAGCCCUUCUUCUUCAUCAUCUUGCCAAACUUGCGGACGAAGAGUGCUAGUGCUUCAUCAUCACUAUCAUCAUUAGAGCACUCCUCAUCACUUGAUUCUUCCUUCUUGGCCUUGCCCUUGUUCUUGCUCUUGGAUGAAGAGCUAGCUUUGAAUGCUACACUCUUCUUCUUCUUGUCAUCAUCAUCCUUCUUCAUGACCUCAUCAUCAUCAUUGUCAUUGUAUUGAUCUUCGGUCAUGACAUCUCCAAGUACCUCAUUUGGAGAUACACCGGUCAAUCCACCUCUAAAGAUGAUUGUUCUUAAUGUCUUGAACCUCUUGGGCAAGCACAUCAAGAACUUGUGAAUGAAGUCCUCAUCUUUCACUUUCUCGCCAAGGCCCUUGAGAUCAUUGAUGAUGACUUGGAGCCUAUAGAACAUCUCCGGUAUAGACUCAUCAUCCUUCAUCUUGAAGUUGGAUAGCUUGUCCUUGAGCAUAUACAAUUUGGCACUUUUUACCGUUGUAGUGCCCUCAUAUGUUUCUUCAAGCCUUGUCCACACUUCACUAGCCUUCUCAAGAUCUUUGACUUGUUCAAAUACCUUUGAAUCAAUGCCAUUGUAUAUUGUGUUGAGAGCCAUAGUAUUGCAUUGCUUGUUUGCUCUCUCAUUGUCGGUGGGGUUAGCCAGAUCAAGAAUCACAAAGUCAUUUUCGGUGACUUCCCACACUCUAUCAUUUAUUGAUCCAAGAUACAUUUUCAUCUUUCUCUUCCAAUAGUCAAAAGAGCUUGUGCCAUCAAAGAACGGUGGUUUGCCCCCAACAUGGUUGAACACUAUUUGAGCCAUAAUUUGAGCACCGAGGUUGUUAAGCCUUCACAAACGGUGACCACGGCUCUGAUACCACUUGAAAGGUCCUAAUAUGGCUAGAGGGGGGGUGAAUAGCCUAUUUAAAAAUCUACAAACUCACUAGAGCAAGAGGUUAGUAAAUAACAAAGCGAAGCUUUUUGCUCUAGCUCUAAUGGGGUGUUUGCAAGCCACCUAUCCAACAAUUCUAGUUGAUAUAAUCACUAGGCACACAAGAGCUAUGUCACUACUUUACACUAGAAAGCUACCUAAAGUUUCUACACAAGUAAGUAAGCUACUCUAGUUUGCGGGAAUGUAAAAGAGAUGGUUUGAACUUUAUACCGCCGCGUAGAGGAUGAACCAAUCACCAAUAUAAACAAUCAAGCACCGGGAGAAUUCCAAUCAAACACAAUUGAGACACUGAUUUUUCUCCCGAGGUUCACGUGCUUGCCGGCACGCUACGUCCCCGUUGUGUCGACCAACACUUGGUGGUUCGGUGGCUAAGAGGUGUAGCACGAACCUCGUCCUCACUAGGACACCACAAGAACCUACCCACAAGUGAGGUAACUCAAUGACACGAGCAAUCCACUAGAGUUACCUUUCGGCUCUCCGCCGGGGAAGGUACAAGACCCCUCACAAUCACCGGGAGAUGGCCACGAACAAUCACCAACUCGUGCCAAUCCUCCUUCGCUGCUCCAAGCCGUCUAGGUGGCGGCAACCACCAAGAGUAACAAGAAAACCGCAGCCAAAACGAUCCCCAAGUGCCACUAGAUGCAAUCACUCAAGCAAAUGCACUUGGAAUCACUCCCAAUCUCACAAAGAUGUUUGAUCUAUGAAGGAGAUGAGUGGGAGGUGUUUGCUUAGGCUCACAAGGAUGUCAAGUAUGUUAGAAUGCCAGGAGAGACAGCCCCAAGCCAGCCAAACACGUAUUUAUAGCCCCUCAAACAAAUAGAGCCGUUGGCUCUUUCACUGGGCGAAAUACGGGGUCACCGGACGCUCUUAAAGGGGCACCGGACGCUCAACACCAGCGUCCGGUGCUCCAACGUCAGCCACGUGUCACGCUCGUGUCAGAAUCUAACGGUCACCUGCAGUGCACCGGACGCUGAGCAAGUGAGCACCGGACGGUCCGGUGCACACCGGACUCAUGCGCAGAGAGCUCCGCAAACUUGCAGGGUCACCGGACGCAAGUCACCGGACGCACCAUCAGCGUCCGGUGCUCACCGGACUCACGCGCAGAGAGGGUCGCAAAACGCCCGCACACCGGACGCUAACCACCGGACACUGAAGCCAGCGUCCGGUGCCUAUCGUCCGGUGCCUUACCCUAGCUGGGCCAGGCACUGUCUGCACCGGACGCUCAGACGCAGCGUCCGGUGCUCCAGAAGCCAGCGUCCGGUGAGUGUUUUCUCAGCGAGAAACACUCCCACGACUUCUCCAAAUUUCCCACCGGCGCAAUAGAAAAUAUGCACUUCAUUUUCUUCGGCAGGAGGGAGAGAGGAACCCAUCCUCUCUCUAACCUUCAAACUCCACCUCCUUCUCAAAGCGUGCCAACACCACAAAGUGUAAACCAACAUGUGCAUGUGUGUUAGCAUUUUCACAACAUUUUCUUCGAAGGAGAUAAGUUAGCUCACUAGGUUCUAAAUGCAUGCACAUGAACAAUGACACCUAGUGGCACUUGAUAACCGCUUAGCCAAAGAAUUCCCCUCUUUAUAGUACGGCUAUCUAUCCUAAAUGUGAUCACACCCUCUAUGGUGUCUUGAUCACCAAAACCAAAACCCUAAGCAAUACCUUUGCCUUGAUCUCCAUAGGGUUUUGUUUUUCUCUUUCUUCUUUUCCAAGUUGAGCACUUGAUCACCUUGUGGUCAUCACCAUCAUCACCAUGAUCAUCUCUUGCUCCAUCACUUGGCAUGUACCAACCUCAUUAAGUCUACACACACUUAGCAUAGAGGUUAGUACUAGGGUUUCAUCAAUUAUCCAAAACCAAACUAGGGCUUUCAUCAUGCCCGGCUCAAAGAGGAGAUGCUGCAAGUAAAGCAUGCUGCCGAAGAGAAGCACAAGAGCAUUGAUGUUCUGCAGUCCUCAGGGGAUGAGCUAAAACAAAAGAUCUCCAAUCUAUCGGGAACAAGAGAAGCCUUGUUAGCUGAACUUAAGCAAGUGGAAGAGGCCCUAUCUCAAGCUUAGGAGGAAGAAGCCAGCUGCCCGAUGCGCUCAAUACUCUUCAGCAAGAGAGGGAUGUCCAAGCCCGCAAAGCACUAUAGAUGAAGAAGAAGUAGAAACCAGUGGAAGGUUUUGCUGAUGAAGACACUCGAGAAAUAGAAGAGGCCAACCAGAUCCGUCUGUGCGUAAUAACGGCCAUCCAGGCUUUGCUGAAUUUGUGAACUUUUUAUCGGCAACUUGUUUAGCUUUGUUUUCAAAAACAUUAAUUAUUUUGAUCCAGCCGAUAGGAUUGUUACCGGCACUUAAACUCUAUGCAUGGCCCCCCAACCGAUAGGAUUAUUAUCUACAUUUAAGCUUCAAUUCAUCAAUCUAGAUAUUGGGGUAGUAUCUCUUUAAAUAUUUUCCAUUCAAUGCUCUGGGAAAUUCAACUCCUUUGAGGGUUUCUAAAAUACAAGCAUUGCCAGGGGCAGAUCGAUUUAUCCGAUAAGGACCCUCCCAAUUAGGAGACCAUUUUCCAAAUUUUUUAACUUUUAGUCCCAAUCGGUAAAAUCAACUUCCACACUACAUCUCCCUCGGCAAACUCUUUGGCUUUUACUUUCUUGUGAGACCAUUUAGCAACUCUCUUUUUAUUUUCCUCUAUGCUAAUUAAAGCUCUCAACUGAUGUCCUGCUAUAUCAUCCAACUCAUCUUUCAUCAAAGUUGCAUAAUCAUCGGCAGCUAGCUGAUCCUGAGAAAACACCCAUCUGGAGCCAGUUUUAAUUUCCCAUGGUAACCCUACAUCAUGCCCAUACACCAGUUGAUAGGGUGAUACUUUUGUUGAACCAUGACACGCCAUCCGAUAUGACCAUAAGGCUUCAUUUAACAAUGUGUGCCAUUUCCUAGGAUUUUCUUCAAUCUUCCGCUCAAUGAGUUUAACAAUCCCUUUGUUAGAAGCUUCGGCCUGUCCAUUAGCUUGAGCAUAGUAAGGAGAAGAAUUCAACACAUUAAUCCCCAUACCGAUUGCAACUCAUCAAAGUCUCCUGAUAUAAACAUGGUACCCUGAUCGGUAGUAAUUGUUUGGGGAAUGCCAAAUCGGUAAACAAUAUGCUCCUUUACAAAAUCAAUCAUAUUAGCCGAUGUUACUUUCUUCAAGGGAAUAGCCUCAACCCACUUGGCGAAAUAAUCGGAGGCAACCAAGAUAAACUUAUGCCCCUUGCUUGAUGGUGGAUAAAUCUGACCGAUAAGAUCAAUAGCCCAGCCCCUAAACGGCCAAGGUUUAGUAAUAGGAUUCAUAGCUCAUGCGGGCGCCCUUUGGAUGUUACUAAACUUCUAACAUCCUUGACAUCCUUUGAAAUACUUAAAGCAAUCCUCAAGUAUUUUCGGCCAAUAAUAUCCAUUCCUUCUAAUCAUCCAUUUCAUCUUAAAAGCCGAUUGGUGCGCUCCGCAUACUCCUUCAUGAAUUUCACCUAUUAAACUCUUGGACUCAUCAUCACCUAAACAAUUAAGCAAUACUCCAUAUAUCGUACGAUAAUACAAUUCUUCCUCAAGGAGUACAUACUUUGUAGCUUGAAACUUAACACGCCUCUCAACUUUCUUUGAUGGAUCUUUUUAAAUAAUCAAUAAUUUCUCUUCUCCAAUCAUCAGCACUGACUGCCGAUAAUACAUCCAAGAUGGGCUGAUAUCCCGGAGCAUGUUGAGCUAAUCGGUUAGCUUCUUCAUUAUGUAACCGAAGAAUAUGCUCUAAUCGAAAAUCCCUGAAUUCCUUCAACAAUUGUACACACCUUUCAUAAUAUGCUAUCAAAACCUCACUUCGGCAUUCAUAACUCCCAACCAACUGGUUUAUAACAAGCAUAGAAUCAUCGAAAAUUUCAACAACAUCGGCAUGAACUUCCUUUAAUAUCUCCAAUCCUUUGAUUAAAGCUUGGUACUCAGCUUGAUUAUUUGUCGACGUGGCAACAAUCGGUACAGAAAACUCAUACUUCUUUCCUCGAGGAGAAAUUAGCACUAUACCGAUACCUGCCCCCCGAUCACAUGUAGAUCCAUCAAAGAAGAGCGUCCAAGGAACAAUUUCCAAAGCAUCCACCACACCACAAUGUUGAGUUACAAAAUCGGCCAUGAUUUGCCCUUUGACUUCUUUAGCCGAUUCAUAACGUAAGUCGACUUCUGAUAAUGCUAAUAUCCACUUGCCGAUUCUACUACUCAUAAUUGGCAUUGAUAACAUGUACCGGACUACAUCAUCUUUGCACACAACAGUGCAUUUGGCCGAUAGCAAGUAAUGUCUCAAUUUGACACAAGAAAACUAUAAGCAUAAACAUAAUUUUUCAAUUGCCGAAUACCUUGUCUCAGCAUCCACCAAUCUUCUACUCAGAUAAUAAAUUACACGCUCCCUUCCCUCAAAUUCUUGAUUGAGAGUUAAACCGAUGGCCAUAUCAUCGGUAGACAAAUAUAAUCUAAAGGGCUUUCCUUGUUGAGGUGGAACCAAAACCGGAGCAUUUGUCAAAUAAUUCUUGAUUUCAUCCAAGGCUAAUUGUUGCUCCUUUCCCCACACAAAUUCUUGAUCAGCUUUUAACUUUAGUAAAGGACUGAAAGCACGAACCUUACUCGACAAAUUAGAUAUAAAUCGUCUGAUAAAAUUAAUCUUGCCAAUUAAUGAUUGAAGUUUAGUUUUAUUGGUGGGAGCAACUAUUUUGUUGAUGGCAUCAAUAGAUCUCCUACUAAUUUCAAUUCCUCUUUGAUGCACCAUAAAACCAAAAAAUUGUCCUGCCGAUAUACCAAAUGCACAUUUAUUAGGGUUCAUCUUUAAACCAUGCUUUCUUGUGCAUUCCAACAAUUUUCGCAGAUCGACUAGAUGCCUCAUGAAAUCCCUAGACUUAACCACCACAUCAUCAAUAUAGAUUUCUACCAACUUGCCGAUAAGCUCAUGGAAAAUAAAAUUCAUGGCUCUCUGAUAAGUAGCACCGGCAUUUUUCAAGCCAAAAGUCAUGACUAUCCAUUCAAACAAUCCAACAUGACCAGGACAUCUAAUGUAGUCUUGGGAAUAUCCUCUUUAGCCAUGAAUAUUUGAUUGUAUCCUGCAUUGCCAUCCAUAAAACUAAUAAUCUGAUGUCCAGCCGCAGCAUCAACCAACAAAUUGGCAACUGGCAUUGGGUAACCAUCCAUCAGCGUAGGUUUAUAGAGAUUCCUAAAGUCAAUAUAAACACGAAGCUUUCCAUUCUUUUUAUAAAGAGGGACAACAUUAGAAAUCCAUUCGGCAUACCAACAUUGCCGAAUAAACUUAGCUUCAAUAAGUUUGGUUAUUUCGGCCUUAAUAUCCAGAAGAAUAUUAGGAUUGCAUCGGCGUGCUGGUUGCUGAUGCAGCCGAAAUGCAGACUUAAUAGGCAACUAAUGUUCAACAAUUGAUCGGUCUAAACCAGGCAUCUCGGUAUAAUUCGAAGCAAAGCAAUAUUUAUAUUCCUUUAAUAAAUCGGUCAAUUGUUGCUUACAUUCAUAAUCUAACUUAGCAAUAAUAAAAGUGGUUCUUGGUCUAUCACCAUUACCUAUAUCUACUUCUACUAGAUCAUCAGCCGAUGUAAACCCUUGCCCUAACUUUCCAUCAUCGGCGGCCCUGUCCAUUAAAACUCUUCAUCAGAACAGACUGCUUGGAUCGGUGGAAUUUUAUAAUCGGCAACUUUGAGAAAAUCUUUCUCCCAAACUUCCCCUGAAAUGCAUCUAGUCCUCUCAUAAGUAUCUGAUUCUCCUGAUGCAAUGACAUACGAAGAAUCUCCAUGGACAAUCUCAAUCUUGUCACCUACCCACUGAACAAGGCACUGAUGCAUUGUAGAACGAAUACAGCAAUUGGCAUGAAUCCAAUCUAUCCCUAGUAGCAAAUUGUAUGCACCUUUUCCACUGAUGACAAAGAAAGUAGUCGGCAAAGUCUUGCUGCUGAUGGUCGGUUCAACACAUAUGGCUCCCUUAACUGGCCACACAUUCCUUUCAAAAUCUUUCAACAUCAUAUCGGUCUUGGUCAAAUCUUGAUCUCCUUUGUCAAGUUUCCGAUAUACUGCAUAUAGCAUAAUGUUAAUUGCAGCCCCUCCAUCAAUGAGUACCUUAGAAAUCGGCUGCCCAUCAACCCUGCCUUUGACAAACGGAGCCUUUAGAUGUUGUCUUUCAUCAUCAGAAGGCUUCUCAAAAAUAGCUGUCAUUGGGUCAAGUGUCAACUGAGCUACCUGAUCAGGGAAAUCUAUCUCCUCAUAAUCACCGAAAGGUGCAAGAAACUCCAUCGGCAACAUAAAAACCAUGUUAACAUCUACCGAUGGCCCUUUUUCCCUGGGAUCUGAUUGCUGCCGAUUUUCAGAUUUGGUGUACAAACUUAGAUACUAGGUUGUCAUCCCCAGCAUGGUGCCAGAGUGUGCAAAGGUAUUUAUGAAUAUGGAGGCUCUCUAGAAAAUAAUCUAUUCUAUCCGCAAGCGCACAGAUAAAAUAUAUCAUUGUAGCAUUUCAUGAGGAAAGUAUUCCAGGUAUCGUUAUUUAUAAUUUUGCUUAAGAGAACAAAGGUGAAAUUAAGAUAAGGAUAAAAUCUAUCAAGGCAUAGACUAGAGAUAAACUUGCAAGAACAUGAUUACUAAUGAGGAACUCGUCACACAGUCACUUAUUUUGGCAGGGGGUAAGCCAUAAUAAUAAUGAUAAUGAAAUAUAAGCCCAUAGGUAAAUAACACAGCAAUUAGAAAAUAGACUCCUCCUCAUAUAUGUAAGGUGACGUCGGAUUAGCUAGAGAAUGGAUUCUAAGUUAUCUACUAUCUACUAAGUCACAAUCUACUCUAGUUAUCUACAAGAUCAUAUAUAGCAUAAAAGACUCUUCAUUUAUGUAUAAGGAACAUUGCUAAAGUAAAUUAGAGCAUCGCAAGACUUACUCCGCAAUACAAAUUCUGCCAGUCCUAUCAACGGAGGGUGGACUAUACAAGAAUCAACGAAGCUGUCACUAUCGCGAACUACCACACAACCCGGCCAAUAGGAUACAUUUGCAAGUAAAUAACAUCUUAGCACCACGCCCACAUGUGAUCUACCACUUAACUCCCACGUGUCAAGAGCUAAGCGCUUUGCAAACUUAUACAUAAACUCAUUAUCAAUCAUAACUAUAUCAAAUAUAGAACUAGAGCAAACUAAGAGCAUAAUAAAUAGAGACAUAAUGCAAUUAGAACAAAGUAGUAGAGAAAGAUAUGAAUUAAUACCAAUCUUUAUUAACGAAGAUCCGAAUCCAGAGCGUAGUGCUCUACUUCUCUAAUUCUAUCUAAUCAAUCCUCUAAACUUGAAGGAUUAAGGAGUAGCUAAUUCCAAUUCUCUAUUGGAGAGAAGUCUGAACCCUAACUUUGAUGGCUACCUCUGAUAAUGAUUUCUCCUCUCUCCCCCUGGGGUGGAGAGGCCUUGAUUAUAUAGUCCUUUCAUGUGAAUUUGGGCCGUCGGAUCAAACCGACAUUGAUCGCACGGUUUUCCUUGAUCCAUUAGGUCAGUGGAGCACGAUCUAGGAGAUUGGUUGUGAUUGGCCCCGAGGCCAGGGCGGGCGCCCAAGGGGGGAGGGCGGGUGCCCUGCCCCCGAACCCGUCCGGUCUCCCGUUCGUUUCGGUGGCUUCUAGACCCUUCUAGAUUAAGAAAAAUUGCGCGGCACGUAAUUAUCUCGUUGUAAACAUGACAUGUGGGCCUUCUCUCCAUAUUUUCUGAUAACCCCCUGUAGAAAUAGACAAACACCAAAGCUCGUGGAAUUCUGUCAGAUAAAACCCUAAUUCUAGAUGUUUGGUGCAUAUUGAUCCUUUUCCAUGUUUAGAUGAUAGUUAAAUUUAGUACUUAAGGACCGUCGAAAAACUCCCCCAAGCAUACCCUUUGCUCGUCUCUGAGCAAACAGCUAAACUCAGACGGAUCAGGAGUUGCUUUGAUGUUUUCUUUCCUGACAGGCACACAUGCUUUCAUAUAAAAUUCUUACAGAUUAGAGUGAAGUGUUAUGGAGCUUAGUACCAGCACUUAAGUCCUAAGUAAUCGAAAGACAAAAUAAUUAAGUCAAGCACUAUUCCUCCUGUCUAUACUUCACCUUUGUUCCAGAGUUUGGCAUAAGUUUUCAAAAAUAAAACUCAGAGUUCCCAGCAAUGAUUCUCUCAAGUCUCCCUAUAUGUGGUAUUUGUGGAUCCUUACCAAAAAUGUCACUUACCUAUAGCUAAUGGAAUAUUUAAGUGGAGCUCAUAGGAGUGAAAAAUAGCUCAUACAUAUGUUGUUUCAUCGAGCCAUGGAUCCAAAGGAACUCAGCAUAUAAUUAAAUCAAGAUGUGCAUGUGUGGUGGAGUAAAUGAUAGUGAUGGUAAAAAUGUAUAAGUGAUAAUAAAACUUACUUCUCAUUGCUCCUCAUAUUGCUAUCUCUCCUCUUUUUUGAUCAUUGCUUUGGGAGAACAUGGGCUAUCUUUUUCUCUUCUUUUUUUUCAGGUGGGUAGUAGAUACCCCUAAUUCUACUGUCGGACACUUGUCCAUUUUUUCCGCUCAAGUGGGCAUCUUUGUACCCCUAAUUCUACUCCGGACACUUGUCUAUUUUUACCUCUCGUCUCACUCUUUUUCUUUCAUUUUUUGAGGUUUCGGGUACUUGCCCCUUUUUAUUUCCUCGCAUAUUUUUGCAUAACCCAUGCCUCUUCUGCAUUGAAUCUUUCUAGAGAGAGAGAGAAUAGCAAUACUAGGGAUAGUGAGUGAUAAUAAUAUUUUAGUAAUUUUAAUGUAUGGUGGUGAAUGGUGUAGUGGAUGUGUGCAAGUGAAUAUCUUAAUUUAACCACAUGAAAAGCUCCUAAGGGUCUACACAGCUUGAUCAAACUCAAUGUGAAUAUAAGUAGGAAAAGAUGUUAUAGCAAGUAUGGUUGUGGUAGGAAGUUUGUUAUGCUAGGAACUCAUCAUGUGAUUAGUAAGUUUUAAAGUAAAUCUCCAGAACUUAGUGUAGUAGGAACAAGAUAAACAGUAGCUCAAACUUUAUAUUAUGCCUUUCUCUUACCUAGACUUUAGUUUUAGGUUCAUGCUUCCCAUCAAUAGUAAUUUCUAUUUUUUUAGUAAUUCCUGGAAGAACUCUAAUAAAAAGCUAUGUACUUGAAAGUAAGCAAACAGAGCAAUUGUUCAUCAUUUCCAUCAUGCAUCUUUUUGGUCUUUUAUUAUUUUUUUAGAGAUUAACACUUAGCAGGAAAAAUAAAGCACACUUAUCUACACACUCUUUUUAUUUUGUUUUUCAUGUUUAUAAAAUGCAGUAAUUUAAAAUAAGAAAAUAUUUAUUGGGUUUUCUAAGUUUUUCUCUUUAAGAUAACUAAAACACUAAAAUAGAAAAGAAUAAAUAAGAAGUGCAAAUAAAAACUUACAUGAUAAAACGGGGAGGAACUUCCCCCAAGCUGGAUGUGAUUGUCGGUCUUACCCAAUGUUCCAGAAUUGCAUCAUGGUGGUGAUGUUGUCGUUCAUUGUCGUGGUGUCUUGUCUCAGCUCUUGUACUGCAGUGGCGUGGUCCUGGUUCCAUUUUUGUUGCUGUUCCAAGAGUCGUCCAUGUUCCGCUUGCGUAUUCUGGAUGCUGAGGAGGGUGUUGUCGGUACGGUUGAAGAAAGCGCCGGCCUCUUGGUAGUAGUCGUUUGUGAAAGCAUAAGAGGCGUCGGAGUAUCGUCCUGCAUCGAAUUGGGGCAGAGGCUCUAGACCCUAAUGCUUCAUAUGGAAAGGCGUGUUUGUCCAUAUGGAAAGGUGGGUUUGUCCACUGGUGAUCUUGGCUCUCUGACCAUGUCUCUUGUGUUGGCUCUUGUGGUUGAGCAUGUCGAACCCAUGGGUCCCGAAGGACUUGGGGGUUAUAGUCGCAAUAAUGCAGGUGUGUUGCUUCUUCCGGUCUAGGAUCAGCUCCAUACCAGGUGCGUUCUUGGUGGGUCGUCAUCCUUUCAGAUGCCACUCGCUGUGGAGCUCUCUGGUUUACCUGUGUUACUGCAAUCUCAAUCAAAUAAUUUUGAACAACAUAGAGGCCAAGGUUCGGGUUAGGUAACCGAAUCUUGCCUUUAUUAUUGUAUAACAUAUACAUUAUGUUCCCCUCUUUUUUCAACAUCCGAGCUUGCCUAAAUGUGUCAUAGCCAUGAUAAAUUCGGAACUCAUCAAUGAAUUCCAAUGAUGAGUUUUCUAGCAAAUGAAGACUAGAGGCUAGACGAGUGAUAAGUGAAGUACAUCCUACUGGUCCCUGAAGACUAGGUAUACUAAGCCAAUGAGAAACCAAAAGUGUAACAGGUGAACUGGGUACUUUAUUUAUAGCAGCAUAUAGAAGUUGUAAAUCUCCUACGCUCACUUUUCUAAUAUCAUCACGAUGAAAAAGAUUGUACCCAAGCCAUUUGUGGAACAUCCUAAGAGUGGGGUGUUCCAUGUCACUGGUUCGGGCUUGACUAUAAAACUCAUCUCUAGAUAUCUCUCUCCAGAACUGGUGUCUCUCAAAAUUGGGUAAGUCGGAGUCAAUGUUCAAGAUGCAUCUUGAAGAGAAAACGAGAUGGUCGCUCAGUUCUCUCCAAGACAACAUAAUGUCCUGUUUGAACAUCCGAAAGGCAAUUCCCCCCCCCCUCAUAAUAUUGUAAAGUGCAAAGAAAUUCAAGGGUGAGAAGAUGGGAACCCAGCUCAGUUAUGUUCCAAAAAUUUGUCCAUCCCACCAUCUGGAAAAUCAAAUCGAAUUCAGUAUCCAUACUUGUUUCUUGUAGCAAGAUUGGAUCGAGAGUGGGGGUGUGAAUGAAAUCUUUAUUCUUUAGCUGCUGGUAAACUUCCUUUUCCCUGCGGGUCUUCAGUCCAUGGUCUCCUAUCUUGAGGAGGACCUUGACUUGUGGAUCAGAUGAAGAUGACGGAGCUUGCGGGGGUGUCGCCUCAAUGCUCAUCUCUAAUUGGUGCGAGGAGUGUCGGGAUGAACUCCUUGUACCUAUGUUCUUGAGGGCCUUCCCUGCGUUCUUUACCUUUUUGAACAUCCUGCAAACAAAAGUUGACACAAACACAACUAGUGGAAAAUGUGAGAGAAAAUGUUAGUGGUCAGCUCUCCGAAAUGUCAGUGGUCCAGGGGUUAGUCGUUCAAGACAAGUUUUUAUUUUGGCAGCACCUCCCCCUAAACAAUUUUUACUUCCUCUCUAGACAGCGGGAUCACUACUUUCUAGAUGAACCUCACUCUCUCAGUCAGAGACUACCAACCUCUCUUCUACUCUUCUCUUCCUCUCUACUCUCUUCUUACUUCACUACAAGAGCCCCUUCUCUAGAAACUGAAACUUGCGUGGUUUUCAGUAAUGCUUGUGUGAAGAAGUUAGAGGCAGGAAGUGGCAAUUUAUAGGAGGAAAGGGGGAUAGGGUGGGCGCCCUCUAUAGAUGGGCGGGCGCCCACCUUUGGUGGCCAUCCUGGCCACCUUUUCUCCACUCCCUCCUUUGCUUGGCUCUUACGCAGAAUAAUAGUUCAUGGGUGGUGGUUGGUCGGUGGAAAAGUGCUGGUGAGUGGAGUUAUGUUGGUGGAUCAAAUAAUGUGAUGGGAUGUAUGUGAGGUGUGGUGUAUGACAUGUGGGACCCAAGGAGUGUGGGUCAUGCUUCUAGAAGGUUGCUAUAAUUAAAUAUAAUGCAGGAAAAUCUAUGAGAAUUUAAACUUAUUGAAAUGAUAAUGGAAAAAUAUUUUUGUGCCUCCACAAUAAUUAAUAAAUAUGGGUUGGUACACACCAUAAAUAUUAUUUAUAUGGGGCUUUUGAUUAUUAUAAAGAUGCUAUGAAUAAAUAUGACUAAUGCAAUAAUUAAUUAUGGAAGAAUUAAUGAUACGGAUAAAUACCGACUUACCUCCCGACGAGGGUUUGGGAUUUUUGGGUCCCCAAGCUGGACCUCCAAAUCUUUUUAAUCUUCUGAAUUACCUUCCUCCGGAGAUGGUGUCUCCAAUGGUUCUUCUUCAUGAACUUCCUUCACUGUAGAGUCUCUCUCUGGUCUGGGCUUGAAUGUGAAGUGUUCUUCUUGUCUGUUUAUGUUGAACUUGAUUCUUCCCUUCCCGACAUCAGUGUUGGCAUUGGCAGUGCUCAGAAAUGGCCUUCCAAGGAUGAUGGAUACUUUUGAGUCAGGACUCAUGUCCAGUACCACGAAGUCCACUAGCACAAGGAAAUCUCUUAUCUUGACUGGGAUGUUUUCGGCGAUACCCAACGGGUGUCGAACUGAUGGAUCUGCUAGUUGCAGGCACAUUGAUGUUGGUUCUAGGGUCCUAUGCUCAAGCUUCUUGUAGACUGAUGCUGGCAUCACACUAACACUUGCUCCAAGAUCACAAAGUGCAUUGUUGAAGUGUUGGUUUCCGAUCGAGCAAUCAAUAGUCGGGCAUCCUGGAUCCUUCUUCUUCCUUGGUGGUUUAUUGAGGAUGGCCGCACUACAUUCUUCUAUCAGCUUGAUAACCUCAGUGGUGGGCAGUGGUCUCUUUUUGUUAAGAAUAUCUUUGAUGUACUUUGCAUAUGUGGGUACCUGUAUGGCAUCAAGUAGAGGUAUGUUGACAUAUAAUUUCUGAAUGACCUCUACAAACUUACCAAACUGCUCAUCCGACUGCAGUCCUCUGUUUCUUCUAGGAAAUGGCAAAUAGUUGGUGUCGUAAAAAUCUUUCCUCAUUUCUUGAGUACUUGGUGGUUGUAGCAGAUCUUCUGCUUUAACUGGGCUUUCUUCUUCUAUCACUGCUGGUUGCACUGGUGCUGAUGUUCUUUGUUUCUCUUUUGGGUAUGGGGGUCACUGAUGGCUUUGCCCCCUCUAGUAGUUAUGUUCUUUACCUGCUCAAUGUUAGUGGCAACAGGCAAUGCAGCAGCUAGAUUUAUUAAUUUAAGCUCUACCCUUUUAUUAAGAGUGUUUUGCUCAUCAAAGGCAGUUAAUAGAAAAUCCAUUUUAUUGUGUAUAUCUUUUAGAGAUGAUUCAUUUGAGUCUAGGCUUUGUUUAACUUCAUCAUUAGUUUUGGUUUGUUAAGCAAUUAUCUCUUUUAAUGAAAGUUGCUUGAAAGUGUUACCUGAAUUCAUAACUUUGCUAUGGGUUGACUUGAGGUAGGUUGAUAUUUGUAUGCUGUCUCAAUGGCCCUUUGAUCUUCUUUGAACUUGGCCCUCUCGUCAAUCUAAUGGAGCAAAUUUUCCAUCUUGGUUGAUAAUGCAUUUACUUCUUCUCGUAUUUCUUCAGUUUGAUGACAUUGUUGAGCUUCAUCUUGGAACCAGCUUUGGUUUUUUGCUAUCUUAUCCAAAAGUAUCUCUGCUUUUCGAAUUGUAAGCUCCAAGAAUGAUCCUUUAGCAGAUGCAUCUAGGCACUCACGAGCCUUCUGGGUUAAUCCUUGGUAGAAGGUCUGCAUAAGUAACCAUCUGGCCAUUCCAUGGUGAGGACAAUCUGAUAUGUAUUCUUGAAAACGCUCCCAUGCUUCUAGAAUGGUUUCUGUCUUUUGCUGUUGGAAACUGACAAUAUUUCCUCUUAAGGCAGUUGUUUUGCCUAUAGGGAAUGUUGACACCGUUUUUGGGCACUGUUGACGGUCCUUAAUGCUCACAUUUAACCAUCAACUAAUCAUGGAAAAGGAUCUAAAUGGAACCAACACCUAGACUUAGGGUUUUAUCUGACAGAAUUCCACGAGUUUUGGUGUUUGUCUAUUUCUGCAGGGGGUUAUCAGGAAAUACGGAGGAAAGGCCCACACGUCGGGUUUACAUAGAGAUAUUAACGUGCUGCGCAAUUAUCUUACAUCUAGAAGACUCCAGAAGCCACGAGACCGAAGCGGAGGCGAAACGGGGCCAGAGACAGUUAUCUUACAUCUAGAAGACUCCAGAAGCCACGAGACCGAAGUGGAGGCGAAACGGGGCCAGAGACAGGGCGCCCGCCCACCUCCUGAGUCCAAUCAGGACUCUGCUUUGCGGGAGAUCUCCACCGACCUAAAGGAUCAAGGAUAACCGUUCAAUCUAAGUCGGUUUGAUCCAACGGCCCAUAUUCACUUGAAGGGACUAUAAAACCAGACCCCCUGGCCCCUGGAGAUCAUACCUCUUCUACAGAAUCAAAGCUAGGGUUUCAAUUCUUCAUCCAAGUAGAGAGGAUCCCUCUAGUUCUUCUAGUUCUACCUCUAGUUCAUCUAGAUCUAGUUCUAGUUCAUCUAGUUCUAGUUCAAGUUCCUCUAGUUCUAGUUCUAGUUAGUUCUAGUUGUAAUCUAGAAAAUAGGGAGAGAGAAGAGGAGAGCGGAGGAGGAGCCGGAUCUGUCGGAUCUUCAUCAACAUUGUACCUUUGCAGCAUCUGGUUCGUUCUUCAUCGUUCUCCAGGUUCUUCAAUUCAUAAUCCUGAGUUCUCUAAUUACUUUUAUUUACAUUCAAGUUAUUUAUUGGAUUCCCGCUUGCAUCAAGUGCUCUAGUCUUUAUAACGCUAGAGUAGUAAUUAAUAGAUUAGACGUGGUGUUUAGUCUUGCAAUUACCUGGAAUUGCACCCAAUCCUGCGGAUUGUUGUGGUAGCCUUAGGGUAGUGACAGCCCUAACGGUCGACGUAUUCCACCUCGUUCGGAUCGGUGUUUGUAGGACCGUAGUCGGAGCUUCCUAGCCCCCUUCUCAUCUCUUUCUGUGGUUAGUGUUCUGAUGUCCCGAUAUAGAUAAUCUUGAAGUAAUUCUUGAUUCUUAGAUCAACUAGAGAACUCUCAGGAAACUUCCUCUCUUCCCAUCAAAAAUAAUCAUAUAGUUAUCCUUGGGCGAUCUUGGAUCUUAAUUAGUACACUCACGUUCUCUGUGGAAAAUCGAUACUCUGGAAUACUCCCGGGUGAAGGCUACAUCGGUAUCCGUGUGCUUGCGGAUUUUUUCUGUUUGCGUUUAAAAUACCCAACAAGCUUUCUGGCGCCGUUGCCGGGGAACGGUAGCUGUGCUAGUUUCGAACCAAGUCGUCCGUGUAUCCUUUUUCUUUUCUUUUUUUACCACACUCACCUUAUCAUUUUCACCAUACCACAUGGAUUUCACUCUAAGCAUUAAUGAGCAUGGAAUUUAUUUCAUAGCCACUUCAUUUACUCCAUGCUCAUAUGCAACAUCUUCACAAUCCAUUGGUCUCUCCAACAUCACCACAUUCGAGAUCUCCAACCCCCACUUCCUUUCUAUUCAUAAAAACUUUAAAAGGGCGAUUGUCGAUGCAUAUGUCUAUAAUAAAUUUUGCAGAUCUCGUUGAGUUGAUCUUGAUAUAGGUCAGCGUUGGAGGGGAAACCACUUCACUGACAUAAAUUGAUGGUUUCCCAAGGACAAGCUUAGCAUCCUAAAAUAAGCACUGAUUAGAUCGUAACAUAAGCUUUUAAUUAUUUGCAACACUACCUUGUGUAUUGAGCAUAUAAGGAUAAUUGUAAAAAUAUUCCUUCGGGUAUUCUUGUCACUAACCUUUGCAGGAUUGGAGCAAGAAGAUCGGAUGAAUGACAAGCACAAGGUAUGUCCAACCAAUCAUCAUACAACAUUGAAUUAAAUUCAUCCAAACUUGAAUUUUGCAAAAUUCUAGCUUGGGGGAGUACUUUACAUAAAAACAUCCUUUGCCAUGUUGCUAUGUUGGUUGUCCCUACCUUUGAGACAUGCUCAAUUUGUUAAAUACUAAUCACACUACUUCAUCUCCACUUGAGUAGAUCUCUAUAAAUGCUCUCAUGCUACCUUUAUUUGCUUUAGUAUAUGUCUAGGUUUGGAGUAGUUUCAUAUAUCUCUUAAUUAAGCAUGGUGCUUAGCUAGGAAUGAUGAUCUUACUUCCAAGGGAUUUUAAAUUAAGCAUGGUGCUUAGGUUAAAAUGCCCUCCUGAAUCAAAUUAGACAUGGUGUCUAGGUUGAUUUUUGAGCUGAUAGUAUGCUAUAGUAGAUAUGGGAUAUUUUGUUGGAUUAACCCCUGCAGGAAAACUUUCAAUAUCGACCUGGGAAGUCCUGAGAUAAACUCACAUUGGAGACAAAGAGAGAGACACAUAAAGUUUAACAAUUUACACAAGGAAGGCAUAGCUCACAAGAGAUGAUUCAUGGAGGGUGCCACAAACACGAUGCACAACCGCUAAGAAAGGAAAGCUUCCACAAGGUGAUACUGUACCAUCACUCUUCAAGUAAGGUAACAUCUUAAGGUACUUGACUAUCACUUCUAUAAGCUUUUCCUUGGUUCUGGCAUUCACAUGAAUAAAAGAGACAAACAUGUAUGAUUUACAACUUUAGAUUAAUCAACCCAAUCGAUUCAACAUGUUUAGUCUUUCUACCUUCGUGAUCCCACACUCCUAAUCAUAUAAGCUAAAACGUUGCACAUUCAAUCUUUGGAAGAUAUAAACAAAACAUAAGUAUACAUAGAUUAUCUUUCCAUUAGGUUGAGCGAUGUGAUCUGACAAAUGUUUUAAAUAUUACACUCAUGAUCUUAUUAUCCAUCAACUUGGUCUUGCUCAUUAUGCUUAAGGAUAGAGAAGAAUAAAUACACUUUUGGUUCUGUUGGUGUUUUCCACCAACAGGGCCCAUGCACUUGAUCUCUGCCUUGUCUCUAUGAGCAGGUACACUUUAAGCAAAACAUGGAAGAGUUUUACAACUCCCAGACUCCAUCAAGUGAAGAACCUAGAUCUACGAGCACAAACACACUGGAGAGACUGGACACUCAGGCAAUCACUGCCCUAAGAUGCUUGAGGACGUAACUACUGGAGUAACCCAUGGAAGUAAUUACUGACCUUCUGCCGGUCAAGAGAGACAAUCCAGGACGCCCCGUCAUCCCGAUCUCCAUCAGGCAUGGUGGACUUCCUAGAAGCACUCUGCGACUAUGGCUCCAGCAUCAACAUUAUGCCUAGGGUACUCUAUGAAAAAUUCUUUACACAUCCUUUACUAGAAACAACCACGUGUUUAUAGCUUGCAGAUCAGACACUAAGUUUCCCAAAGGGAAUAUUGAAGAACCUCUGCGUCCGAGUUGGUACCUUGUACGCCCCAGCAGACUUCGUGGUGAUAGAGACUGGUACUGAUGAGAGGGCACCCAUCCUAGGGAGGCCAUUCCUGAACACCUCAGGAGCUGUCAUCUACGCUAGUGCUGCCAAGAUCAAUUUCUACAUCAAGGGGAGGAAGGAGACGUUUUCCUUCAAGAACAAGACUACACAAAUCUCAGAGCAAUCCCGACAUGAACCAAGGAAGAGGAUCAACAGGGGGAGCAGGAACAAGCAAAUGUGGACUGAGUCAGCUAAGAUGGUCACUGCAGCUCAACGAGGUCAAGAUCGUCGACUUAAGUCACCGUUCCUGACCAAAAAGGAUGCCGCAAUCACUUAACAGCUCCUGCAUGGAACCAUGUCCCUACAACCAACAUACAUUCAGCUCCAGAUGAUUUUAAGGUUAUUGACAUGGGAGAAGACAAGUACGAUCCAUCCAUCAUCCUUAGGAGACCGUUCCUCAGCACCGCUAAAGCAAUCAUCAACAUUGGAAUUGGAGAAGUCCACAUGCACUUCCCCUCUGAGAAGGUACGCUGCUAUUUUACUGACCCUAAUUAUAUAGUUGAAGACUCUAAGCAGGUCAGGGCAAGAAGAAUACGACGCAACCGCAACUAGAGGAGGCAAAUCAUCAAGGACGGAUGGGCAGACUAUGAAGGAGAAGUCGUAAGUUCUGAAGACAUACAGCUUGAACAGAACUGUCCGGAGGAGACCGUAGCACCGAGUCAGGUGUGCAGAAAGAAGAUAGUUAUACACGAAGAGCAGGCGCCGCCGGAACCACCGACUACGCCAUCCAGCGAAUCCCAAGACGACUGAGAAAACGGAGAAUCCCGUUCGGAGGACUUAAAAACACCGAACGUCUUGCCAAGAGGUAAACUUGGUAGUUAUCCUUUUCUUUUCAUUUAUCUUAAAAUAGUUUGCUUAGUUAAUCAGGUUCAUAUCAUCUCGAAAAGAAAAUAAAAAUGUUAAAAAUAGUAAGCCCCAUGUGAGUAUGCUCAUGGCAUAAAACCCAUAAGUACAUUCACUGUGGUGGCAUAAAAAUGAAAUAAAUAUAUUCCUGUCUUAUAAAAAUAAAAUUAUAAAAAUAGAUUUAUGAUCCCACUAAAAAGUGUAAUAUUUAUUGAGGAGACUCAACAUGAUAAAGGCUAGAUAUUUAUGCUAACACUUAACUAGUUCCACAAGCUUUGUUGUCUAUUUGAGCUCCACAGAAUUCAAAGAUCAAAGAAGACUAGCAGACGGAGGACAUCCUAGUCGCCGUCAGGGUGCUGCUGACAUUCAAAUAUACCUUCGCCACCUACUAGCUACAUCAGAAGGAAUUACGUCAAAACCCAGCUUGGGGGAGAGCACCUCCAUUUAUCCAGCUAAGUAUUCUACUCACGUUUAUAUUUUACUCAAAUAAUAAAAAGAUGCAUAAUCAUAAAAACCCAAAUAAAGAUUUUGUGCUUAUAUAUAUAUCUUUGCUUAGUUUGCUAAAUAAAUAAAUAAAUAAAAUUUGCUAUGAACCCUCAUGAUAAGCUCUCACAUGGAAAUGAUGAAUAGUUGCUCUACCAUAAUUAGUUCUCAAAAUUGAAAUCUCUCUCAAGUUUAGGCAUGACUGUUAUUAAUUAAGAUUUGCUCUAAACCUGAACUUGUGGGAAGAGUACUUGAUCUGAAGUCUAAGUCGUUAACGGAUAUGAUAUGGGAAGGUUGAGCUGCUGUUUAUCUGUUCCUAGAGAUGCUAGAAUUCUGGAGAAUUUUAUCUUUCAAAAUCUUUAAAAUGUUGCAUGAUGAGUUCCUGUAUGAUGAGAGUUUAAAAUCCUACCACAGCCAUAUAUACAUGCUUGCUAGACUUUGAGCCACACAUUUACUUUUUACUGCUUAUGAGCAUUGAGUGUGGUCAAGCUGUGUAGACCCUUAGGAACUUGUCAUGUGGUUAAAAUCAAGAUUCACUUGCACGUUCACUCAUAUAUGCUGCUUCCACUCCGGAAGUACCAUCCACAUAUAUCCACCCAUUUCCAUCUCUAGAACCACCCAAAAAUAUUCUACUCCUAAUCUGGGAGAGAAUAGCCAAAAACAUUCUCCUAUUUCUGUUAUUUCCCGUGAAAUAAAUGCUCAAGUUAUCUUGGUUACUACCACUUGCUAUAUUAUUUCAAGAGAUGAAUGCUCUAAAAAAAAGAAGAAAAAAAAAUACGAGGAAAUAAAAAGGGGCAAGUGCCCGGAACCUCAAAAGAAAAAAAAGUGAGACGAGAGGUAAAAAUGGACAAGUGUCCGACAGUAGAAUUAGGGGUACAAGAUACCCACCUGAGAGAAAAAAAUAUAUAUAUAGAGCAUCUCAUUGUCCUGAAAAAGUUUCAAAAGAGCAAGGAAGGUAUGUAUCCCCUCAAAAGAGCAUAAGUAGAAUUAGACUUUCACCAUUGUUAACACCAUCAUCACCAUACACCAUUCAUUCGCCACACAUGCACAUCUUGAUUUGACUUAUUGACUUGUUCUUCUGGAUCCAUGGUUUGACUUUGCAAUAAAUGUCUUCUAAGUAUGUAUUAGCUGUCUCCCACCUAUGAGCUCCAGAUAUCAAAAGCCUUAUUAGAGUAGGGUGAGAGAGAAGGCAAUACCACUAUGCCUUAUACCACAAAUACCACAUACUUUUAGAGAAGGCAUACACCAUUAAUGCCUUGGUAAGGAUCCAGAAAUACCACAAAAGAGAGACUAGAGAGAGUCAUACAAGGAAUCUCUGAGUUUUAUUUGAAAAUCUGCAAAAACUCCAGAGCUAUAGCUGAUCAAGAAUAAGAGACAUGGUGCUUGACUAGACCGUUCUAUCUUUUAACUACUCAAGACAGAACUGACGGUUACAAGUCCCAUGGUGAAAGGUAAUGAGUAAGUUUUAAGUCUUAACAGUUUACUCUAACCCAGAGAUGAGAUCUUGUUUGAACGCAUGUGUAUCUUUAAGGCAUGAAACCACUGCAGAAACUCUUGAGUUCAUCUUUGCUCAGGGACGAGCAAAGGUUAAGUUUGGGGGAGGUUGUUGACGGUCCUUAAUGCUCACAUUUAACCAUCAACUAAUCAUGGAAAAGGAUCUAAAUGGAACCAACACCUAGACUUAGGGUUUUAUCUGACAAAAUUCCACGAGUUUUGGUGUUUGUCUAUUUCUGCAGGGGGUUAUCAGGAAAUACGGAGGAAAGGCCCACACGUCGGGUUUACAUAGAGAUAUUAACGUGCUGCGCAAUUAUCUUACAUCUAGAAGACUCCAGAAGCCACGAGACCGAAGCGGAGGCGAAACGGGGCCAGAGACAGGGCGCCCGCCCUGUCCUACUGGGCGCCCGCCCACCUCCUGAGUCCAAUCAGGACUCUGCUUUGCGGGAGAUCUCCACCGACCUAAAGGAUCAAGGAUAACCGUUCAAUCUAAGUCGGUUUGAUCCAACGGCCCAUAUUCACUUGAAGGGACUAUAAAACCAUACCCCCCUGGCCCCUGGAGAUCAUACCUCUUCUACAGAAUCAAAGCUAGGGUUUCAAUUCUUCAUCCAAGUAGAGAGGAUCCCUCUAGUUCUUCUAGUUCUACCUCUAGUUCAUCUAGAUCUAGUUCUAGUUCAUCUAGUUCUAGUUCUAGUUCCUCUAGUUCUAGUUCUAGUUAGUUCUAGUUGUAAUCUAGAAAAAUAGGGAGAGAGAAGAGGAGAGCGGAGGAGGAGCCGGAUCUGUCGGAUCUUCCACAACAUUGUACCUUUGCAGCAUCUGGUUCGUUCUUCAUCGUUCUCCAGGUUCUUCAAUUCAUAAUCCUGAGUUCUCUAAUUACUUUUAUUUACAUUCAAGUUAUUUAUUGGAUUCCCGCUUGCAUCAAGUGCUCUAGUCUUUAUAACGCUAGAGUAGUAAUUAAUAGAUUAGACGUGGUGUUUAGUCUUGCAAUUACCUGGAAUUGCACCCAAUCCUGCGGAUUGUUGUGGUAGCCUUAGGGUAGUGACAGCCCUAACGGUCGACGUAUUCCACCUCGUUCGGAUCGGUGUUUGUAGGACCGUAGUCGGAGCUUCCUAGCCCCCUUCUCAUCUCUUUCUGUGAUUAGUGUUCUGAUGUCCCAAAAUAGAUAAUCUUGAAGUAAUUCUUGAUUCUUAGAUCAACUAGAGAACUCUCAGGAAACUUCCUCUCUUCCCAUCAAAAAUAAUCAUAUAGUUAUCCUUGGGCGAUCUUGGAUCUUAAUUAGUACACUCACGUUCUCUGUGGAAAAUCGAUACUCUGAAUACUCCCGGGUGAAGGCUACAUCGGUAUCCGUGCGCUUGCGGAUUUUUUCUGUUUGCGUUUAAAAUACCCAACAGGCACGUGUCCACGUUUGGUAGAGUACAGGCCGGCAGGAUAAGACGGCGGUGUUUUGUCUACAGGAUGAAUUGCCGAUGAGAAUGGUUGCCGAUGAAGGAGAGAUUGAACGUGACUAUGUCUAUAGGUGAUGAUUUGUCUGUGCCGAUGGCUAUGACAAGGAAGUCUGCCGAUGACUAUGACAAGGGAGUCUGCUGAUGAUACGGAGGGAGAGUCCAGGAGUUGCCGAUCGGUUUGUGAAGAUGUUCCAGCUUGUCACGGGGGGAUAGCUUUAUGAUUUCCUUAGUUAUUUAAAUCGUUUUGUAUACGGAUUCUAUGUAAUUUGGAAUUCGAAUUCUGGUCGUGUCUGGUUGUUGCUCUUUGAGCAGGAUAUAAAUAGACCCUAGGGCCUUGUAAUGAGAUAUCUAUCAAUCAAUCAAACACACGUUUUUACUCAUAUUCCAGCAUCUACUUUUUCGACGACUUUGUCAUACUUUUUCCUUUUUAUUACGAGUUCUUAGGAAUUCGUCGACUUAAGCUCAGCGCGUUCUCAAGUUCCGCGUGAGUACCUCUUAGCCGUGACAUCCGGGCGCAUCGCUGUUGUCAGGACUAAAGUAUUCGAGUUACCACCUUUGCCGAUAGAAAGGUCAAAUCGGCUGGCACGCCUUAACGUUUGAAUCGGGUAUUAGCCCUUUGUGUUUGCAGAUCAACUUUUGCACCAACACAUCUUUGGGCACGCCCAGUGGGACAGAUUCAAGAUCAAGAUCAACAUGUCGACUUCUGAGUUUGAUCAAGAGAACGUCAUCCCCGUGACGGAAGCCAAUCUCAAGGACGAGCAGAAGCAAGCCAUUGCUAAAGCCAUGGAGGAUUACAAGCAGCAAUGCCUGAGGUCCUUCAGCAUGAACAGGAGCGGUGAGGUGAUUCAGAAGGAUGCACUGCCGGCACCUCGGCAGGUUACUUUUGAGUCCAAUCCUGGCAAACUUCAAGAGAUGGUUGACAGCGCUAUCAACCGUGCUUUGAUCAACCAAGCUGGUGUACUGUCUAAUACGGUUUUCAAUGUCGUGGCAAGAACUUUCAAGGAGGGACAAUUGCCACCAGAUUAUGUGGGCCCCACUUAUCACCAGCCAACGUCACCAGUGGUCACAGCUCCAUCGGCUGCUACGGCUGCUGCGGGUAUGGAGAUUCCUGUUCCGCCAAGUACGUUGGGAGUCACCAACGGACAGUCUAUGCCGAUGACAACUAAUCCACAGACUUCAGAUGGGCAGAUUAAACUCGCCACAGAUUUGUUAGCAUCGGCAAUGACAGGACUAACUCCUCCUCCCAACUGGUGGGGUUAUGGUAUGCCUCCAGAGUUAACGCCGGGUACAUCACAGACGACUGAUAUGAGAGGCAAGACUACUAUGGCAUCGGCACCUCCCAAUAUGCUGAUGAACCAGAGUCCCCAGUAUACUACAACUACUACUGCAAGACCUUACACUGGGAAUUCUCAAGCUCCAAUGUUCUAGAUGCCUAACGCAUCGAUAGACUCGAUGUUGAUGCAACAGAGGUCUAUGGCUCAAUCAGGGUAUGUCAAUUCAAUGAUGAUGCCCAAUUACCAGUCAUCGGCAGGGCCUAUGCCGUUGAACGCUAAUAAUGGAUGGCUUGGGCAGCAAGUCUUUCCGCAAACACUCCAAUAGAGUCACCAGGCUACAGGGUUCCAGCAAGGACAGAUCUAUCCCGGGUUCUAGAAUCAGGGGAUCCCUAACCAGCCAAUGAAUCCCGGGCAGCAGGUCAGCGGACAGCAGAUUGGCGGGCAACUGCUCGGUGGUCCACAGGUUGGAGGCCAGAUGAUCAACCCAAUGUUUCGUGCGGAUCGUGCACCGAACAGACACGUUGAGGCUUUCCAGCAGGCACCCGAUCCGCAACCGCCCCAUCGGCAAGAUGCCGAUGCAUACUGGGCCGAUAAGAUUGCUGAAGUGAUGAGAGACCAAUUCGGGAUAAAACCCAAAGUCAAUACUUACUCUUAUCGGACACCGUAUCCUCCUUCAUACGAUUUGAUCCCGCUUCCACAUCGGUACAAGGUACCGGAUUUUACUAAGUUUUCUAGGCAGGAUGACACGUCGAUCAUGGAACACGUCAACAGAUUCAUUAUUCAAUGCGGUGAAGCUGGUAACAGGGACGAGUUGAGGGUUCGUCUAUUUUCGUCAUCAUUGUCUGGAUUGGCUUUUACCUGGUUUAUAUCAUUGCCUCCCAACUCAGUCAUCACUUGGGCCGAUCUGGAGAAACAAUUACACAGAUACUUCUUUUCUGGGGUCCAUGAGAAGAAGAUCACCGAUUUGGUCAAAUUAAGGCAGCGUAAUGAUGAAUCGGUUGAGGGUUUUGUACAGAGGAUACGGGAAGUCAAGAACAAGUGCUAUAGUCUGGUUCUGGACGAGCGGCAGCUAGCCGAUUUGGCUUUCCAGGGUUUGUUGCCACACAUCAGGGACAAAUACGCAUCUCAGGAGUUUGAAAGUCUAAGUCAUCUGGUGCAAAGAAUCUCUGAUCAAGACAUCAAGCCGUUUCAACCCAAGAGAGCAUGGAACAAAAAGGUGUCGUUCGUUGAUGAAGCAACUAGCUCGGAUUCUGAUGAGGAACUAGUCAUUGGCUUGGCAGAGUGGGUGAAAAACAAGAAGCCGAUGUCUUGUCCUUUUGGACACAAAGAACCAGAGAAAUUUGUGUUUGACACCGCUAAAGCCGAUAGGAUAUUCGACUUUCUGCUCCAGGAAGGUCAGAUCAAACUGUCACCUAAUCACGUAAUCCCAUCGACUGAAGAAUUGAAAAGAAUGAAAUAUUGCAAGUGGCACAACGAGUGCAAGGUGUUCAGACAGCAACUGCAAUCGGCUAUAGAAUCUGGGAGAAUCAAAUUUGACAGCUCCAAGACCCAGAAGCCGAUGAAGAUUGACCAACAUCCUUUCCCAACGAACAUGUUGGAUGCUAAAGGAAAAGCCAAGGUCUUAACCUCAGAAGCAGCCGAAAUAAGUGCAUCGGUAGAUCCUCAGCAUCAAGUCACUACCGCCGAUGUGAGAGGACGGGGCUUGGUCCAGGAAGGAACCAGCUCAAGAAGGCCUCCCCGAUCUGGGAUUGUAAUAACUCACAGAAGGCCUCGGGAAACUUGGCAGCAACGAGAAGAUCGGUACCGGCGCCAGCAAGAAGAUUAUCGUCGGGAAGAAGAAAGACGCCGACAGGAGUGGAAUCGGCAUAGGGAUCACUGGAAUUGCCCGUUCUUCAUCCAUUGCUGGGAGGAGAAUAUCAAGCUUCCUACGGCCAGAGAUUGCCCUGAGUGCAACAGUUAUGAUCGGUACGACAGGUCCGAUCGGAACUAUCGUGAUAAUGAUCGGCGCUUCGAUGGGCUGAUUAGAGGGAGAGCAUCCGUCUAUAAUCGGCUGGGGGCAGACUCAAUAUACACAACAGGCUUGGUGAUCGUGUCCAAUAUUUUCCCAGGAACCAGGAAGAGCUUGAGGAGAUGGCUAAUGCACGAGUUCCCGACGAAUUCAUAUUUUGUAGGGAUGCCAAUACGCAUCGGAUGGAGUCAAAGGAAAAUCAUCGCCCAGCAGCAAGGCAGAAGCCGCUUCCUCCAUGGUGUCCAGAGGGGUUGACCAAGACAUAGAAAAGGAGGUUGCAGCGCGAAAGGUGAGAAGGGCUGAGCAAGGGCGAGAACUCUGGUCAGUCUGGAGAUCAGCAGCAAUUAGAUCCCAAGGGGGAAGGUCCAUCGGCAGAUGUCAACAUAGUCUUUAUGUUGCCGAUGGAGUUUCUUGCGCCGUCCAGUGAUGAUGAAUUGGAAUUUUCUGACCAAAUAGCUCAAUUGGCUCUGGAUCCGAUGACAGCUAUCUUCGAGAAACCUGCCGAUGACGAGAGGCAACAUCUCAAGGCUCUAUUUGUCAAAGGGAGGGUUGAUGGGCAGCCGAUGACCAACAUUCUAGUUGAUGGUGAGGCUGCUAUCAACAUCAUGCCGUAUGCGGUAUAUCGGAAGCUUGGGAGAGGGGAUCAGGAUUUGACCAAGACCGACAUGAUGCUUAAAGACUUUGAAGGGAGCGUGUCUCUAGUCAAGGGAGCAAUAUGUGUAGAGUUGACCAUCGGCAGCAAAACCUUGCCGACAACCUUCUUUGUGAUCAGUGGAAAGGGUGCUUACAACUUGCUAUUGGGAAGAGAUUGGAUUCACGCCAAUUGUUGCAUCCCGUCUACAAUGCACCAAUGCUUGGUUCAGUGGGUAGGAGACAAAAUUGAGAUUGUCCCGGGAGAUUCUUCUUAUGUCAUUGCGUCGGCAGAGGCGAACACCUAUGAGAGGACUAGGUGUAUUUCGGGAGAAGUUUGGGAGAAGGAUUUUCUCAAGGUUGCCGAUUACGAGAUUACACCGAUCCAAGCAGUCGGUUCUGACGAAGGUUUUUAAUGGAUAGGUUCGCCGAUGAUAGAAAGUAAAGGCUAAGGAGUUUGCCGAUGGAGACUUAGUGUGGAAAUUAAUCUUACCGAUCGGGACUAAAAGUUCAAAGUUUGGAAAAUGGUCUCCCAAUUGGGAGGGACCAUAUCGGAUAAAUCGAUCGGCUCCUGGUAACGCCUACAUUUUAGAAACUCUCGAAGGAAUUGAAUUUCCCAGAGCAUUAAAUGGCAAGUAUUUAAAGAAGUACUACCCCAGCAUAUGGGUCGAUGCAUAAAAGUUUAAAUGGCGAUAACACUCCUAUCGGCUGGAUUAAAAUGUUUGGGGCAGGACUUAAUAUUUCAAAAGAUGCCGAUAACAGUCCUAUCGGCUAGACUGAACAUCAAGAAAGCUAAAGAGCAGGAAGAGGCAAAUGUGUUGCCGAUGAAGAGCUCACAUACUUAGCAGCGCUUGGAUGGCCGAUAUAGCGCGUAGGCGGAUCUGGUCGGCCGCUUCUAUCUCCUUGGCAUCUUCAUCGGCAGAACCUUCUAUUGGCUUCAGUUUCUUCUUCAGCUGCAGUGCUUUACGACCGUGGGUGUUUCGCUCUUGCUCGAGGUGUUUGAUGGUCUCCGGCAGUUGACUUUCUUCAUGUUGGGCUUGGGAUAGGGCAUCCUCCACUUGCUUGAUUUCUGCCAACAGGGCUUCUUGUUUUGCCGAUAAGUCGGAGAUCUUCUGCUUCAAUGCAUUGCUUGAGGAUUUCAAGGUGCCGAUGUUCUUGUGCUUCUCAUCGGCUAAGAGUUUCUCUUUCAUCAUUUCCUCAGAGAGCUGGGUCUGAGCAGCUCUAUCGGCAAGGCGCCGAGUGGCUCUCUGGUACUGCAGCUGGCGGCUUUCUAGAUGCGCAGCCUAGAAGAGGGUUUCUUCAACGUUGGCAGGAAUCUAGCCUCUGAGGGUCUUGAACAGAACCUUGGCCGGGUCGGAGUCAUUGACUAGUUGAGCUGUAUCUUGAUGAAGGAUGGCCGAUAGCUCUUCCAGCUUAGCCCUGAUCUCUACCGAUACAAUCCCAACUGCUCGGGAAGAACUUGCCUCCUCACCUUCGUCUUCGGAGAUAUCAAUGGCGAAGGAAAAUAGGCUGUCAGGGGAGUCUUGUUCCUGAAAAGGAGGACAAAGUGAGCCGUUCUAUGGUCCGAACAUCGGCAAAUGAUAUUGAUGAGGAUUGGAUAGGUUACCUGCUUCAGGGCAAUCUCUCAUCUUUGACUGGAAGAUAUCGAUGGGGCCACGGGUUGAUCGGCUAAAGUUGCCGAUGAAUCUACGACGGCUGAAAAUUAACAGAAGGGGUUAUAAGACCGUAAAAGAAUAGGUUCAUCGGCAGUAGUAAAAUGUGUUACCUUGAGGAAGGGCAGUCCUAGUUUGGAUAGAAGAGACCACUCAUACUAUAAUGGAACGUGCUGGAUCGGCAGUUGAUUCAUGCACAUCGGCCGAUAUGUCCUCUGGCUGGGGUACCUCUAACCGGGGUUCUUCUUGCUGGGGUUCUUCCACCUGUGGUGCUUCUUGCAUUGGUGGGGAGGAUGGUACUUGUUGCGUCUGGACUUCUGGAGGAGAAGGGGAAGACUCCACCGGAAUUGGAGAUGCCGGAGGAGGAGGGGGAGUUGCUACUCUCUGGCGCUUUGCUUGUGCUCUGGUGCCUUUGGUACCCUUUCUCUUUUGCUAACUGGACUGGGGGGCAUCGGCACCUUUACUUUUGGUCCUUGCCGAUGCGCUGGUUUGCUGAUGCAGAAAAAAGAACUUGUGAAUAUCAAUGUAGCAGAUGCAAAAGGAAGAUCGGUAUAAAUGAAAAAGUUUGGAUAUUACCUUGAAAGCCUGUGCCAGAGCAGAAGCAGCUACCGAUGGUGAUGUCUGAGUUCUCUUGGUGGUGACCUUUUUGAGGCGCAUGCCUCGAUGUACGAUGGCGGCCAAGGUAGGAGCAUUAUGACCGAUUGAGGAGAUUGGACCUGAUGCAAACAGGUCAACCGGCUUGCCACUUCUACUGACCGAUGGGGGAGUACCAUCAACCUGAAAAGUCACAGCAAAGAAAUUAGUUACCGAUGGAAAUAGAAUCGAGAGAAUUGGAACAUCGGUUUGAAGAUACUUACAGUAUCAGUGGGAACUUCGUACUCAGGAUCGAUCAUGCCGCGAUACGAAAGAGCCGAUUUGCAAAAUAGGUGCUCCUUCCAUUCUGCCCACCACUGCUUGUACGCCUGAGUGAUGAAGGCGGCUGGUACCCAAUCUGACAGGUCUACAUCUGUAUCGGCACUUGAUGACAGCUGGGCUACUCGAAUCCAUUCAAGGAGGCUGGUGAUGGUUUCCCUGGGCUUUAUCACAUCGGCAUAACAGAGUGCAAUCGGCAGCUGGCCGAAAGCUAAUUGACGAGCUAGUGCCGAUGGAUUGUAGAAUUCGUAAGUCUAGGGGAGGUUUUUCCACUGCCAAAGAAGUUCACUGGUAUGGCUCUGGGAGUCACCAAUGCCAUCAUCACUUCAUUGUCCUUAUCAAGAGCCUCAUCGAACGGGUUGAAAACUAGAGGGAAUGUGGUGUUUGGGUCAUCAUAAGCCAACCAUGCUCGCUCAUCUCUGGUCAAACCCUCAUACAAAGCUUUGAAGAAUUGGCUGACCUGAUCUGGAUUACUCCCUGAGCCAGGCAAAACUAUGAUAGCUUCAUCAAAGUUUAAAGGAGCACGUGUUGCCGAUUCUUCUUCACCCAGCACAUGGUUCUCUGCUAUGUCCCUUAGAAAGCGUUGUGCAAAGAGAUUGAACUCCAGACGCUUGUGCAUGUGGAGGUUGAGCCACAUGUUGAUAAACCACCAGGGGCCUCCCAAAUUGCCGAUAGACUGGCCAAGCAAGAGCUUCUUAGUUACUUGGUGGAGGAGGUGAUAGGCCGCUCCAAGCAGGUAUCGGCCGAGGGGAAAUCGGCCACCAUUGGCCAGAUUUUCCGCUGCUGCUAGGUGAACAGAAGUUGGUCCUGCCGAUCGACCACAAAACACGAAUUUGUCUAGCCACAUAUUCAGAAAGCAGGUCUGCUCCUUUAUGUCAACAGGGCCUGUUUUGUGGUAUUUUUUAAUAUACCCUGACCAGCCGCCGAUGGAGCGGGUUUCUACCUUAGCGCUGGGUUUGGUAUCAAAAAAGUGGGUGCUAUCGGCAGAAGAAACGUCCAGGCCAGUGAGCAUAGCUACAUCGGCAAGUGUAGGAGAAGCAGGGCCAUGACCAAAGACAAAGGCAUUGAGGGUGUCUGACCAGAAAUAAGAUGCAGCUAUCAACAGUGAUUCAUUCUUAUGCAUAUCGGCAAUGGACAACCUAAUGCAUUGGUAUAGCUUUCUCUCGCCCCACUGAACUUCGUUGGAGUUGCUAACCCUCAAGAACCAAUCCUUCCACCCCACGGUAGGGCUGGGCCAAGAACGAAAAGCAUCCUUCCCCAGGUCCAAAGAAAAUUCUCUGCUCUAAAAGGAAUCCUGUUGGUUUCUGCGUUUAUGAGGUUGGUUGGAUCUGGGUCCCCUAGCGGGCCAAGGCAUUGGAGAUGUGGUUGAUCAGUGGGGAUGACAAUUUUGUUAGCCGAUUCCUAAUGGUUUUGAGGAUGGAAAAGAAAAACACAAAGAAAGGAAAAGAAAAUGCUCAGUAAGACUGCGGAUGAACAGAGGUGCGAGAAAAGUAGGAGGGAUGGCGCGAAGAACUGACCUCAGGAAUGAUGAAGUUGACAGCCAUUUUGCCACGGAGGAGAAGCUUGAGAGUUUCGAAGUUGGUGAAUAAGGAGCCUCGUCGGAGAUCUUGGGGCUUUUGGAACAGCGCCGCCGCCGGGAAGGUGAGGUUAGAGUUGUGGAAUGAUGUGAUGGAGAAGGAGUACCCGAGAAGGAACUACUUAUAGGACAAAGCGGGCAGGGGCAAAUCUGACUUAUCUAUUUGCCGCAUCCGAGAAAUCCGAGGGUGCUCAGGUAGAUAUGGUAACUGUUUGCACGGUAAUCCAGGGAUUGUGCAGGUGAUUUGACAGGAAGCGGUCAUUAUUUAGAGAUAUUUCACUGUGCGAGAUCUCUUAGUCGGUCCAUCGGCGGUGUCUUGUAACGGUCAUAUUGCCGAUGGACAAAUGAAGUGGAGAUAGCUGUUUGGAAAGAUAAGGUACGAGCAUCCUGGUCAGUCCAUCGGUAAAUCUUUGCAACGGUAAUAUUGCCGAUGUGCGACUAAAAAGGAAAUGUCCGUUUGGGAAGUUGAGGAUUUCGAGGGAUUUACAAAAGAACAGGGUCAGAGUUGUUCAGAUUGAGGUUGUCGGUUACCAGGUUAGGAGCAUUAAUUGCGAGAAAAGGCAUUAUUACUGCAGAGAAUUUCGGAGCAUUAACGAUUUCAUACUCUGAAAUUGGGGGGCAUGUGUUGACACCGUUUUUGGGCACGUGUCCACGUUUGGUAGAGUACAGGCCGGCAGGAUAAGACGGCGGUGUUUUGUCUACAGGAUGAAUUGCCGAUGAGGAUGGUUGCCGAUGAAGGAGAGAUUGAACGUGACUAAGUCUAUAGGUGAUGAUUUGUCUGUGCCGAUGGCUAUGACAAGGAAGUCUGCCGAUGACUAUGACAAGGGAGUCUGCUGAUGAUACGGAGGGAGAGUCCGGGAGUUGCCGAUCGGUUUGUGAAGAUGUUCCAGCUUGUCACGGGGGGAUAGCUUUAUGAUUUCCUUAGUUAUUUAAAUCGUUUUGUAUACGGAUUCUAUGUAAUUUGGAAUUCGAAUUCUGGUCGUGUCUGGUUGUAGCUCUUUGAGCAGGGUAUAAAUAGACCCUAGGGCCUUGUAAUGAGAUAUCUAUCAAUCAAUCAAACACACGUUUUUACUCAUAUUCCAGCAUCUACUUUUUCGACGACUUCGUCAUACUUUUUCCUUUUUAUUACGAGUUCUUAGGAAUUCGUCGACUGAAGCUCGGCGCGUUCUCAAGUUCCGCGUGAGUACCUCUUAGCCGUGACAUCCGGGUGCAUCACUGUUGUCAGGACUAAAGUAUUCGAGUUACCACCUUCGUCCAUAGAAAGGUCAAAUCGGCUGGCACGCCUUAACGUUUGAAUCGGGUAUUAGCCCUUUGUGUUUGCAGAUCAACUUUUGCACCAACAGGGAAAAACUUUGAUAGAAAGGCAUCUGACAAGUUCGUCCAGUUGUUUUUGUUAUCUUGAUGAGUGUAGAACCACUUCCUCGCCUUCCCUUCUUGUGAGAAUGGAAAAAGGUGAAGUAGUAUGACGUCUUUGUCAACUCUGUUGAUGUGGAUUGUGCUUCCAAUCUCUAAGAAAUUCUGCAAGUGUGCACUAGCAUCUUCAUGUGCCUUUCCACUGAAUUGUGUAGCUUGUACCAAAUUGAUGAGGCUAGACUUGAGCUCAAACUCAGGUGCUCCUUCUUCUACUGCAUAUCUUGGACCAGUUGGAGUGUUCUCAAGGCUCGGAGGAGAGAAUUCUCGUAGGUGUUGGGUAUUCUUAACAUCAUUACCAAAAGUAGACUAAGUUCUCUAAAUCUAGUAACGGUGCCAAAAAUGCCAAACCUAUCCCUCACACCACUUAAGCCAAGUUGUCAUCCCCAGCAUGAUAUAAGAGACGCGGUAUUGAAAUAUGCAAUUGCUCUUCUAAAUAAAUAAUGAAUGGGAUCUGCAAGCGCACAGAUUAAUACCGAUGCAACAUUUUAACCGGGAAGUAUUCCAGGUAUCGUUAUUUAUAUUUUUACCACUGGGAAGGGAUUAUCAAUCAUCAAUAUUGAUUACAGAAUAGAAUAUGAGAUUGAGCAUCUAUCAUUGCAUGUAUAAUUGAGAACAUUAUAUCUAACUCAUCAUACAGGGAUAAGUGUCACAUAAAAGAUAUAUGAAAUAAUGAAUAGUGACAAGGAUAAUUAAUCUGAUCUAGCCACAUAAUAAAUAUGAUAAGCACCUCAAUUAGAUACUCUAGAAAGUCAUUAGCAUGGUAUUAGAACGAACUACAUGAAUAUUCCCUAAGUUAUUCUCAACUAUAUAGUCUAGCAUUAUCAUAAUUAGUGCAAGCAUACUUAGCAAUCAUCGCGAGACAAGACUACGCCCAUGCAUAGUGAUAUUAGCAAGGAAUAUGAGAAACAUAGCAAUCACUCCCCUUUAAUAAUGUUGCUCUGCCAGCCCAAUACACGAGAGGGGGACUAUAUAAGAAUCAAUGAAGCUGUCACUAUCACGAACUACCCCACGAUCUGGCAUAUUGGGUACAAUCGCAGAUAAAUACGGUAUAAGCACCACGCCUACACAAUAUCUAUCAUUUACCCAUGGAUCCGAUGGAUAAACGCUAUACGAUCCUAAGCAUGUAUAUAGAUCGAAUCUAACUAAGCCAAGUACAGAACUAUGAUAAACUAAGAACAAUAUAAUCUUGAAUAUAAGCAAGUAGAGCAAAGUCAUAAGCAAUAUAUUGAAGUAGAACAAAGUCAUAUUCAUAAUAUUGAAGAACAAAGAUAAUUAGAAAGCAAUUAGAAGCACAAUUAGAGAAUUACCAAGAAUCCUCUUGACAGAUCCGGAAACCAAUCGAAGAUUGACUCCUUCUAGUUCUAAUCCUAUGUAGCUAUGCUAAUCUAGAUGUCUAAUUGAUGUGGUGGCCCUAAUCUUGAUCAGGGGCUUCUUCUCCCUUGAAGAACAAUGAAUUAGGGUUGAGAGGCUCCCUCCUCCAGGGGCCAGGGGGUCUGGUUUUAUAGUCCCUUCAAGUGAAUAUGGGCCGUUGGAUCAAACCGACAUAGAUUGUAUGGUUUAGAUUCAUCCUUUAGGUCGGUGGAAAUCUCCCGCAAAGCAGAGUCCUGAUUGGACUCAGAGGCAGGGCGGGCGCCCAGGGUCUGGCCCCGUUUCGCCUCCGCUUCGGUCUCGUGGCUUCUGGAGUCUUCUAGAUGUAAGAUAAUUGCGCGUCACGUUAAUAUCUUUACGUAAUCCCGACGUGUGGGUCUUUCUUCCGUAUUUCCUGAUAACUCCCUGCAGAAAUAGACAAACACCAAAACUCGUGGAAUUCUGUCAGAUAAAACCCUAAGUCUAGAUGUUGAUUUCAUUUGGAUCCUUUUCUUUGUUUAUUUGAUAAUUAAAUUUGAUACUUAAGGACCGUCAACAAACUCCCCCAAGCUUACCUCUUGCUCGUCCCUGAGCAAGGAUAGACUCAGCUAUGGAUCAUAAGUUGUUGCAAUAUAUUUAAAAAUUGACGGUACACAUGCUUUUUAAAUAAGAUCUCAUCUCUAAGUUAGAGUAAACUGUCAAGACUUAAAACUUACUUACUUUACCUUCACCAUGGGACUUGUAACUGUCACUUCUAUCUUGAGUAGUUAAACGAUAGAACAGUCUAGUCAAGUGCCAUGUCUCUUAUUCUUGAUCAGCUAUAGCUCUGGGGUUUUUGCAGAUUUUCAAAUAAAACUCAGAGAUUCCUUGUAUGACUCUCUCAGAUCUCUCUUUUGUGGUAUUUCUGGAUCCUUACCAAGGCAGUAAUGGUAUAUGCCUUCUCACAAUAUAUGUGGUAUUUGUGGUAUAAAGCAUAGUGACAUUGCCUUCUCUCUCACCCUACUCUAAUAAGGCUUUAAUAUCUGGAGCUCAUAGGUGGGAGAUAAAGUAUACAUACUUACAAGACAUGUAUUGUAUAGUCAAACCAUGGAUCCAAAGAAACAAAUCAAUAAGCCAAAUCAAGAUGUGCAUGUGUGGCGAAUGAAUGAUGUAUGGUGGUGAUGGUGAUAACAAUGGUGAAAACAAUGGUGGUGGAAGUCUAAUUCUACUUUGCUCUUUGAGGGGAUACAUACCUUCCUUGCUUUUUUUUUGAAUUUAUGAGGAGAAUGAGAUGCUCUUCUUUUUUUCUUUUCUCUCAGGUGGGUAUCUUGUACCCCUAAUUCUACUGUCGGACACUUGUCCAUUUUUACCUCUCGUCUCACUCUCUCUUUUCUUUCGAGGUUCCGAGCACUUGCACCUUUUUAUUUCCUCAUAUUUCUCUUUUUUUUUCUUUUUCUUUUUUUUAGAGCAUUCAUCUCUUGAGAUAAUAUAGCAAGUGGUAGUAACAAGAUAACUUGAGCAUUUAUUUCACAAGGGAAACAUAAAUAUUUUUGGCUAUUCUCUCCCGGAUUAGGAGUAGAAUAUUUUUGGGUGAUUCUGGAGAUGGAAUGGGUGGAUAUAUGUGGAUGGUACUUCCGGAGUAGAAGUAGCAUAUAUGAGUGAACGUACAAGUGAAUCUUGAUUUAACCACAUGACAAGUUCCUAAGGGUCUACACAGCUUGACCACACUCAAUGCUCAUAAGCAGUAAAUAGUAAAUGUGUGGCUCAAAGUCUAGCAAGCAUGUAUAUAUGGCUGUGGUAGGAAUUUAAACUCUCAUCAUACAUGAACUCAUCAUGCAACAUUUUAAAGAUUUUCAAAGAUAAAAUUCUCUAGAAAUCUAGCAUCUCUAGGAACAGAUAAACAGCAGCUCAACCUUCCCAUAUCGUAUCCGUUAACAACUUAGACUUCAGAUCAAAUUUUCAUCCCACAAGUUUAGGUCUAGAGCAAGCUUUAAAUUAUAACAGUUAUAUAUAUCCUUGAGAGUGAACUUAAAAUGUGCAAAUUAGGCAGAGCAACUAUUCAUCAUUUCCAUACUUAAGUUUUAUUUAGAUACAGAUUAGCAUCGCCACUUUAUUUAUUUAUUAAACACACUAAGCAAAAGAUAUAUAUAUAAGCUUAAAAUCUUUAUUUGGUUUUUUAUAGUUUAUGUAUAUUUAAUAUUCUAAUAUAAUAUAAGUAUAAAGAUAGAUAGAAAUACUUAUCGAGAUAAAUGGGGGUGCUCUCUCCCAAGCUGAAUUUUGACGUAAUUUCUCUUGAUGUAGCUAGCAGGUGGCAGAGGUGUAUUUGAAAGUCAGCAGCAUUCUGACAGCGAUUAGAAUGUCCUCCGUCUGCUAGUCUUCUUGAUUCUUAAAUUCUGCGGAGCUCAAAUAGACAACAAAGCUUGUGGAACUGAUUAAGUGUUAGCAUAAAUAUCUAGCCUUUAUCAUCUUGAGACUCCUUAAUAAUUAUUACUCCCUGUUUUUAUAUUUUUAUUUUAUAAAGCAGAAAAGAAAUUUUUAUUUUAUUUUUAUGCCACCACAGUGAAUGUACUUAUGGGUUUUAUGCCACUCGCAUACUCACAUGGGGCUUACUGUUUUUCGCAUUUUUAUUUUCUUUUAUUUUUAAGAUAGUACGAACAUGAUUAACUAAGUAAACUAGUUGAAAUAAUUGAAAAGGAAAGGAUAACUACCAAGUUUACCUCUCGGCAAGGCGUUCGGUGUUUUUUAAGUCCUCCGAACGGGACUCUCCAUUUUUUCAGUAGUCCUGAGGUUCGUUGGUGGUGUAGUCGGUACUUCCAGCGGCGCCUCCUCUUCAUGUAUAGUUAUCUUCAUUUUCCACACCUGACUUGGUGCUUCGGUCUACUCUGGAUAAUUCUGUUUAAACUCUACGUUUUCUGACCUUACAACUUUUCCUUCAUAGUCUGCCCAUCCGUCCUUGAUGAUCUGCCUCCUCUGGUUGCGGUUACGUCUUUUCCUUACCUGCUUAGAUUCUUCAACGAUAUAGUUAGGGUCAGUAAAAUAACGGCGUACCUUCUCUAAGGGGAAGUGCAUAUGGACUUCUCCGGUUCCAAUGUAGAUAAUUGCUUUAACGGUGCUGAGGAACGGUCUUCCAAGGAUGAUGGGUGGAUCGUACUUGUCUUCUCCCAUGUCAAUAACUUGAAAGUCUGUGUAGACAAAGUGAUCGUCUAUUUUGACUGGGACAUCAGUUACUAUUCCUUUAACUUCUCAAAAUGUCUGAUCUGCCAUCUGGAGUUGAAUGUAUGUUGGUCUUAGUGGCAUGGUUCCAAACAAGAGCCGAUAGGUGACUGCGGCCAUUAUGUUGACGCCCGAUCCAGUGUCGCAAAUCAUCUUGAAGAAACUAUAUCCAUUUAUGGAGCAGUAGAUGCUUGGCAUUCCUAGGUCGUCCUUCUUGGUCAAAAGCGGUGACUUAAGUUGGUGAUCUUGGCCUCCAUGAACUACAGUGACCAUCUUAGCUGACUCGGUCCACACUUGCUUGUUCCUGUUCCUCCUGUUGGUCCUCUUCCUUGACUCACGUCUGGAUUGAUCUGGAAUUUUUGUAAUCUUUUUCUUGAAGAAAAAUGUCUCCUUCUUCCCUUUGACGUAGAAACUGAUCUUGGCAGCACUAGCGUAGAUGAUAGCUCCCGUGGUGUUCAAGAAUGGCCUCCCUAAGAUGAUGGGUGCUCUCUCAUCAUUUCCGGUCUUUACCACUACGAAGUCUGCUAGGGCAUACAAGGUACCAACUCGGACGCAAAGGUUCUUCAAUAUUCCCUUUGGAAAAGUUAUCGUCUGAUCUGCAAAUUGCAAACACAUGGUUGUUUCUAAUAAAAGAUAUGUAAAGAAUUUUUCAUAGAGUACCCUGGUUAUAAUGUUGACACUGGAGCCAAAGUCGCAGAGUGCUUCUGGAACGUCCACCAUGCCGAUAGAGAUCGGGAUGACGGGGCGUCCUGGAUCGCCUCUCUUGACCGGCAGAAGGUCAGUAGAGAAUUUAGUGACGGGGUUACUUCCAAUUACCUGCAUCAAACGUGUCUACAAGAUUUGCAGAUUCUAAUCCUUCCGGUUGUGAUUGUAUACCGGGGUUAGUAGUAGGAACAGCAACAGCUAUUUGAUUUAACUGAGAUUCAAUCAUUUUAUUAAAGCUAAUUUGAUUCUUGAUGGCAGUAGAGAAAUUAUCCAUUCUAUUAUUUAUAUUUUCUAGCAUUUUAUCAUUAGAUGCCAAUUUCUUAGAUAGAUUAUCCAUUAGCUUUCCUUGAUUAGACACUAACUCUCUCAAAGGUGGAAAAUUAUUAGCAUUAUUGUUGUAAGAAUUGUUACCUUGAUAAUUACCUGAGUAGUUAGGCCUCUGUUGAUUCCAACCUUGAUUUUGUUGAGGACGGUUGUAGUAGUUGUUGUUGUUGAUGAUGUAGUUCACAUCCUCAAGCAUCUCAGGGCAGUGGUUGCCUGAGUGUCCAGUGUCUCCACACUCCUCACAAGUCAUGUGAGAGUCGUAGAUGUGCAUAACUUCUUUCUUGUCUCCAACUCUAUCAUCGAGCUUCUUCAUGAGCAGGUCUAGCUUUUGCAGACAGCAUGUCUACAUCUUUCAGCUGAUGCAUACCUCCACCUCUCUUGCGUGUCUGGGUCCUCUCUUCAUUCCAGCUUUGGUUGGACGCCAUCUUCUCCACAAGAGCUGUGGCUUGUGGUAUUGUAAGUGAUAAGAAUGCUCCUCCAGCUGCAGCAUCCAUGGUCUCUCGGGCACUGUUGCCGAGCCCAUGAUAAAACGUCUGCAUUAAUAGCCAACUCUCCAUUCCAUGAUGGGGACAUUCUAGGAUGUAGUCUUGAAAGCGCUCCCAUGCUUCUGGAACAAAUUCAUCAUUUUGUUGCUGAAAACUUGUAAUCUUCCCACGGAGAGCAUUGGUCUUGCCCAUGGGAAAGAACUUAGCCAAAAAGUUUGUUGAGCAGAGUGCCCACGUAGUAUUCUUCUCCUUUGUAGCGUAGAACCACUGCUUCGCUCUUCCUCACAGUGAGAAUGGGAAGAGGCGAAGUAGUAUAGCAUCUUUGGGAACUCCUGAUAUGGUGAAUGUGUUGCAAAUCUCCAAGAAGUGUUGUAAAUGAGCACUAGCAUCUUCGUGUGCCUUCCCACAGAACUGGUUGGAUUGCACCAUGUUGAUAAGUCCAGGCUUGAGCUCAAAGUUGCCAUCGAUCUCUGCAGCAGGUCCAGUGCGGAUGUUGUCCGUAGUGGGAGCUGAGAACUCGCGGAUUGAUUUGUUCGCCAUGGCUUCAAACUCUGAAGACAAGUUCCGGUGAUCUUCUUGAUUUGGAUGAAGCUUCUUGCUGAAGUGUUGAUGAUUUCUUUAGCUUGGCUCUCGUCUUCUUGAAUAAUGCUUCGGGAUUAUUAACAAAAUUUCCUGGAAGAUGUCUUCUAUUCAUACAUUCCCCUGCAUAAGAUGAAAUAGGAAAAUAUCGGGGUAAAACUGUAUGAGAGAAUAGAUAAGCUCAAUCAUAUUAGUGAUGCAAAUGAUAACUCAAAAUCUUUUAUUCCAUUCCUGAUUAGUAAUCAACCUUCCCCGGCAACGGCGCCAAAAAUGCUUGUUGGGUAUUCUUAACAUCAUUACCAAAAGUAGCUAAGUUCUCUAAAUCUAGUAACGGUGCCAAAAAUGCCAAACCUAUCCCUCACACCACUUAAGCCAAGUUGUCAUCCCCAACAUGAUAUAAGAGACGCGGUAUUGAAAUAUGCAAUUGCUCUUCUAAAUAAAUAAUGAAUGGGAUCUGCAAGCGCACAGAUUAAUACCGAUGCAGCAUUUUAACCGGGAAGUAUUCCAGGUAUCGUUAUUUAUAUUUUUACCACUGGGAAGGGAUUAGCAAUCAUCAAUAUUGAUUACAGAAUAGAAUAUGAGAUUGAGCAUCUAUCAUUGCAUGUAUAAUUGAGAACAUUAUAUCUAACUCAUCAUACAGGGAUAAGUGUCACAUAAAAGAUAUAUGAAAUAGUGAAUAGUGACAAGGAUAAUUAAUCUGAUCUAGCCACAUAAUAAAUAUGAUAAGCACCUCAAUUAGAUACUCUAGAAAGUCAUUAGCAUGGUAUUAGAACGAACUACAUGAAUAUUCCCUAAGUUAUUCUCAACUAUAUAGUCUAGCAUUAUCAUAAUUAGUGCAAGCAUACUUAGCAAUCAUCGCGAGACAAGACUACGCCCAUGCAUAGUGAUAUUAGCAAGGAAUAUGAGAAACAUAGCAAUCACUCCCCUUUAAUAAUGUUGCUCUGCCAACCCAAUACACGAGAGGGGGACUAUAUAAGAAUCAAUGAAGCUGUCACUAUCACGAACUACCCCACGAUCUGGCAUAUUGGGUACAAUCACAGAUAAAUACGGUAUAAGCACCACGCCUACACAAUAUCUAUCAUUUACCCAUGGAUCCGAUGGAUAAACGCUAUACGAUCCUAAGCAUGUAUAUAGAUCGAAUCUAACUAAGCCAAGUACAUAACUAUGAUAAACUAAGAACAAUAUAAUCUUGAAUAUAAGCAAGUAGAGCAAAGUCAUAAGCAAUAUAUUGAAGUAGAACAAAGUCAUAUUCAUAAUAUUGAAGAACAAAGAUAAUUAGAAGGCAAUUAGAAGCACAAUUAGAGAAUUACCAAGAAUCCUCUUGACAGAUCCGGAAACCAAUCGAAGAUUGACUCCUUCUAGUUCUAAUCCUAUGUAGCUAUGCUAAUCUAGAUGUCUAAUUGAUGUGGUGGCUCUAAUCUUGAUCAGGGGCUUCUUCUCCCUUGAAGAACAAUGAAUUAGGGUUGAGAGGCUCCCUCCUCCAGGGGCCAGGGGGUCUGGUUUUAUAGUCCCUUCAAGUGAAUAUGGGCCGUUGGAUCAAACCGACAUAGAUUGUAUGGUUUAGAUUCAUCCUUUAGGUCGGUGGAAAUCUCCCGCAAAGCAGAGUCCUGAUUGGACUCAGAGGCAGGGCGGGCGCCCUGACCAACUGGGCGGGCGCCCAGGGUCUGGCCCCGUUUCGCCUCCGCUUCGGUCUCGUGGCUUCUGCAGUCUUCUAGAUGUAAGAUAAUUGCGCGUCACGUUAAUAUCUUUACGUAAUCCCGACGUGUGGGUCUUUCUUCCGUAUUUCCUGAUAACUCCCUGCAGAAAUAGACAAACACAAAAACUCGUGGAAUUCUGUCAGAUAAAACCCUAAGUCUAGAUGUUGAUUUCAUUUGGAUCCUUUUCUUUGUUUAUUUGAUAAUUAAAUUUGAUACUUAAGGACCGUCAACAAACUCCCCCAAGCUUACCUCUUGCUCGUCCCUGAGCAAGGAUAGACUCAGCUAUGGAUCAUAAGUUGUUGCAAUAUAUUUAAAAAUUGACGGUACACAUGCUUUUUAAAUAAGAUCUCAUCUCUAAGUUAGAGUAAACUGUCAAGACUUAAAACUUACUUACUUUACCUUCACCAUGGGACUUGUAACUGUCACUUCUAUCUUGAGUAGUUAAAAGAUAGAACAGUCUAGUCAAGUGCCAUGUCUCUUAUUCUUGAUCAGCUAUAGCUCUGGGGUUUUUGCAGAUUUUCAAAUAAAACUCAGAGAUUCCUUGUAUGAUUCUCUCAGAUCUCUCUUUUGUGGUAUUUCUGGAUCCUUACCAAGGCAGUAAUGGUAUAUGCCUUCUCUCAAUAUAUGUGGUAUUUGUGGUAUAAAGCAUAGUGACAUUGCCUUCUCUCUCACCCUACUCUAAUAAGGCUUUAAUAUCUGGAGCUCAUAGGUGGGAGAUAAAGUAUACAUACUUACAAGACAAGUAUUGUAUAGUCAAACCAUGGAUCCAAAGAAACAAAUCAAUAAGCCAAAUCAAGAUGUGCAUGUGUGGCGAAUGAAUGAUGUAUGGUGGUGAUGGUGAUAACAAUGGUGAAAACAAUGGUGGUGGAAGUCUAAUUCUACUUUGCUCUUUGAGGGGAUACAUACCUUCCUUGCUUUUUUUUUGAAUUUAUGAGGAGAAUGAGAUGCUCUUCUUUUUUUCUUUUCUCUCAGGUGGGUAUCUUGUACCCCUAAUUCUACUGUCGGACACUUGUCCAUUUUUACGUCUCGUCUCACUCUCUCUUUUCUUUCGAGGUUCCGAGCACUUGCUCCUUUUUAUUUCCUCGUAUUUCUCUUUUUUUUUCUUUUUCUUUUUUUUAGAGCAUUCAUCUCUUGAGAUAAUAUAGCAAGUGGUAGUAACAAGAUAACUUGAGCAUUUAUUUCACAAGGGAAAACAGAAAUAUUUUUGGCUAUUCUCUCCCGGAUUAGGAGUAGAAUAUUUUUGGGUGAUUCCGGAGUAGAAGUAGCAUAUAUGAGUGAACGUGCAAGUGAAUCUUGAUUUAACCACAUGACAAGUUCGUAAGGGUCUACACAGCUUGACCACACUCAAUGCUCAUAAGCAGUAAAUAGUAAAUGUGUGGCUCAAAGUCUAGCAAGCAUGUAUAUAUGGCUGUGGUAGGAAUUUAAACUCUCAUCAUACAGGAACUCAUCAUGCAACAUUUUAAAGAUUUUCAAAGAUAAAAUUCUCUAGAAAUCUAGCAUCUCUAGGAACAGAUAAACAGCAGCUCAACCUUCCCAUAUCGUAUCCGUUAACAACUUAGACUUCAGAUCAAAUUUUCAUCCCACAAGUUUAGGUCUAGAGCAAGCUUUAAAUUAUAACAGUUAUAUCUAACCUUGAGAGUGAACUUAAAAUGUGCAAAUUAGGCAGAGCAACUAUUCAUCAUUUCCAUGCUUAAGUUUUAUUUAGAUACAGAUUAGCAUCGCCACUUUAUUUAUUUAUUAAACACACUAAGCAAAAGAUAUAUAUAUAAGCUUAAAAUCUUUAUUUGGUUUUUUAUAGUUUAUGUAUAUUUAAUAUUCUAAUAUAAUAUAAGUAUAAAGAUAGAUAGAAAUACUUAUCGAGAUAAAUGGGGGUGCUCUCUCCCAAGCUGAAUUUUGACGAAGUCAGCAGCAUUCUGACAGCGAUUAGAAUGUCCUCCGUCUGCUAGUCUUCUUGAUUCUUAAAUUCUGCGGAGCUCAAAUAGACAACAAAGCUUGUGGAACUGAUUAAGUGUUAGCAUAAAUAUCUAGCCUUUAUCAUCUUGAGACUCCUUAAUAAUUAUUACUCCCUGUUUUUAUAUUUUUAUUUUAUAAAGCAGAAAAGAAAUUUUUAUUUUAUUUUUAUGCCACCACAGUGAAUGUACUUAUGGGUUUUAUGCCACUCGCAUACUCACAUGUACUUAUGGGUUUUAUGACUUUCCUUACCGUUCCUAUGUGUUUCCCUCUUGAUUCCCUUUUUUGACUCCCUGGCAACGGCGCCAGAAAUGCUUGUUGACACUAGCUAACACCACUUAGAUACUAUGUUGUCAUCCCCAGCAUGGUGCCAGAGUGUACAAAGGUAUUUAUGAAUAUGGAGGCUCUCUAGAAAAUAAUCUAUUCUAUCCACAUGCGCACAGAUAAAAUACCUCAUUGUAGCAUUUCACCAGGAAAGUAUUCUAGGUAUCGUUAUUUAUAAUUUUGCUUAAGACAACAAGGGUGAAAUUAAGAUAAGGAUAAAAUCUAUCAAGGCAUAGACUAGAGAUAAACUUGCAACAACAUGAUUACUAAUGAGGAACUCGUCACACAGUCACUUAUUUUGGCAGGGGGUAAGCCAUAAUAAUAAUGAUAAUGAAAUAUAAGCCCAUGGGUAAUUAACACAGCGAUUAGAAAAUAGACUACUCCUGGUGACGUCGGAUUAGCUAGAGAAUGGAUUCUAAGUUAUCUACUAUCUACUAAGUCACAAUCUACUCUAGUUAUCUACAAGAUCAUAUAUAGCAUAAAACACUCUUCAUUUAUGUAUAAGGAACAUUGCUAAAGUAAAUCAGAGCAUUGCAAGACUUACUCCGCAAUACAAAUUCUGCCAGUCCUAUCAACGGAGGGUGGACUAUAUAAGAAUCAACGAAGCUGUCACUAUCACAAACUACCACACAACCCGACUAAUAGGAUACAUUUGCAGGUAAAUAACAUCUAAGCACCACGCCCACAUGUGAUCUACCACUUAACUCCCACGUGUCAAGAGCUAAGUGCUUUGCAAACUUAUACAUAAACUCAUUAUUAAUCAUAACUAUAUCAAACAUAGAACUUGAGAAAACUAAGAGCAUAAUAAAUAGAGACAUAAUGCAACUAGAACAAAGUAGUAGAGAAAGAUAUGAAAUAAUACCAAUCUUUAUUAACGAAGAUCCGAAUCCAGAGCGUAGUGCUCUACUUCUCUAAUUCUAUCUAAUCAAUCCUCUAAACUUGAAGGAUUUUGAAACCCUAACUUUGAUGGCUACCUCUGAUAAUGAUUUCUCCUCUCUCCCGCUGGGGUGGAGAGGCCUUGAUUAUAUAGUCCUUUCAAGUGAAUUUGGGCCGUCGGAUCAAACCGACAUUGAUCGCAUGGUUUUCCUUGAUCCUUUAGGUCGGUGGAGCACGAUCCAGGAGAUUGGUUGUGAUUGGCCCCGAGGCCAGGACGGGCACCCAAGGGGGGAGGGCGGGCGCCCUGCCCCCGAGCCCGUCCGGUCUCCCGUUCGUUCCCGUGGCUUCUGGACUCUUCUAGAUUAAGGAAAAUUGCGCGGCACGUAAUUAUCUCGUUGUAAACAUGACAUGUGGGCCUUCUCUCAAUAUUUUCUGAUAACCCCCUAAAGAAAUAGACAAACACCAAAGCUCGAGGAAUUAUGUCAGAUAAAACCCUAAUUCUAGAUGUUUGGUGCAUAUUGAUCCUAUUCCAUGUUUAGUUGAUAGUUAAAUUUAGUACUUAAGGACCGUCAACACCUACCUUUCCCGCUGCAUCCUCAUUUUCUGUGUCCUUGUCAAUCCUUCUAGACACCACUAGGGAAGCUAUGUCUUCCACAUUGGUUGAUAGCGGACCUCCCUUGAUUCCACCCGAUGAGUGUUAGCAUCCCUACAGAAAAUAAAUUCAUCGGGCACCCGUGCAUUGGCCAUUUAUUCAAGUUCUACUUGGUUCCUUGGAAAAUGACCAAUACGUUCAACAGGUCUAUCAUACACACUAAGUCUGCCCCCAGCCGAUCAUGGACUGACAUCCUCCCCCUGAUCGGCUCAUUAAAGCGUCGAUCAUCGUUUUGGAAAUGUCGAUCUGGCCGAUCAUACCGAUUAUAGCCAUUGCAUUCAGGGCAGUUGUUAACGGUCCUUAAGUACCAAAUAUAAUCAUCAAAUUAAUAAAGAAAAGGAUCCAAAUACAACCAACACCCAAACUUAGGGUUUUAUUUGAUAGAAUUCCAUGAGUUUUUAUGUUUGUCUAUUUCUGCAGGGGGUUAACAGGAAAUAUGGAGGAAAGGCCCACAUGUCGGGUUUACAUAGAGAUAUUAACGUGCCACGCAAUAUUCUAUCAUCUAGAAGACUCUAGAAGCCACGGGAACGAAUGGGAAGGCGAUCGGGCCCGGGGGCAGGGCGCCCGCCCUGAGUUGGAGUCCAAUCAGGACCCGUCUCGCGGAUUACGCUCCACCGACCUAAAGGAUCAAGGAUAACCAUUCAAUCAAUGUCGGUUUGAUCCAAUGGCCCAGAUUCACUUGAGGGGACUAUAUAAGCAGACCCCCUAGCCCCUGUAGGAGAACAAGUUCAUUGUAGAGUUGAGAGGUGCCCUGGAAGGAUAACCUUUCCUCUACAUAGACAGAGCAAAAGCUAGGGUCUGGAGAUGAGAGCUCUCCUCUCAUCUCUAAACUAGAGUAGAUCUAGAUAGUAGCGAGAUGGAGAGCAAGGGAGGAUUAGAGGAGAGGCCGGCCUAUCGGUUCUUCCUCCGGUUGUACUUCGCCAUGAUCAAGUUCUAAUCAAGCUUGCUCAUGGGAUGACUCUGGUAAUUUACUUCUAUUUCAUUAUGCAAUUACUAUUCAUGUAUGUUCUGGCUCACACCUCUAUUGAGUACUUUUAAUCUAUAGGACCCUAUAGGUUAGAGUUGUAGUAUAGGUGUAAGCAUGGUGCUUAGACAUAGAUUACUUGUGGAUAUCCCCUGUCUAGCUGGAUCGUGUGGUAGGCCACGUAGGUGACAGUUAUGUUGGUCCCCUGUAGUCCAUCUCCUGUUAGCAGGACGGGUAGGGUUUAUCGGCCUGUGGAUAAGCAUCCUUUGUGGUGUAUUCUUAUCACGUGGUUCGUCCCAGACAUAUACAUACCCCUUUGAAGUAGAGAAACCAUAGUUAUCCUCUCUAUUCUCCUACCAUCGCCCAUAUAUUAGAUUGCCCUACUCUCUAUUCCCAUAUUAUCACCCAUUGUUAUUUUUCCUUUAAUAUUGUUCUUAUUCAAUUCUACCAUCUUUCCUAUUUACACUUACCCAUCUAUCUAGGUUAAGUUAGGGCGUAGAUCAGUUCUCCCGUUUCCCUAUGGAUACGAUAAAACCUUUAACCGGGUAAAUGCUACAACGGUAUCUGUGCGCUUGCGGAUUUAUUUGUGUGCGUAUAAAUACCAUAGUACACUCUAGUGCCAAGCUGGGGAUGACAACCUAGUAUUCAAGUGGUGUUAGCAAGUGUCAACAAGCAUUUUUGGCGCCGUUGCCGGGGAGACGGUUGCUGAGUUGACAACGAACUAGCUUAAUCAUUUUCUAAAAAAAAUAAAAAAUAUAUAUUUUUACCUUUUAUCCUUUGCCUUAUCUCUACUAUUCUUUCUUCUUAUCUAAUCCUUGAUCUCUGGUCUAUCAUGAAUGCAAACAUGUCUAUCUAUCUGUUUCAUAGACCCACGGGCACACAUCUCGAACCACCAAAAUCUUCAAAGCCUAUCAUAGCAUCUAGUUUUGAGAUAGACCCCGAAUACAUAGAAUUUGUUCAAAAACAACCUUUCUCAGGAGAAGGUGAGGAAAACCCAUACACACACCUAAGAGAGUUUUAUCGAGUCUGUGACCUCCUUCGCAUUGAAGGCAUGUCCGAUGAGACCCUUAAAUGGAAGCUCUUUUCGUUCUCUUUAACAGGAAAAGCUAGACAUUGGUACAAACUCAAAGUAGGGAGUGUUCAUGGAGAUUCGAAGGAGUUAUAUAUUAGUUUUCUUUUUAAAUAUUUUCCAAUCUCCAAAGUGGUGGAACUUCGGCGUGAGAUUCUUUCUUUUAGACAACUGGAAGAAGAAUCUCUCGGCAAAUCAUGGGACCGCGUUAUUAACCUUACUCUCACUGGCCCAAAGCUUUCUAUUCCAGAAGAAGUUCUUCUAAUUCACUUUUUUGAGGGCCUUAGUAGGGAAAAUAAGCAAACCGUGAAUACAGCCUCUAGAGGAUCCUUCUAUCACCUACCUGCUAGUGAAGCUAGGGAUUUAAUUGAUUCAUUGAGUGUCACAGAACCGACCAAAUUAUAAGAGUUCAAGUGUAGAAACGAUCGCCCAGCAAUUAAGUUUCCAAACUUGAGCCCAUAUAAUCCCGGUAGUCAAUUGAAAUCACGAAGGAUUUCAAACCAACUCGCAACAAACCAAGAUCGUAAUAAUUCAACAUAAACACAGCGAAUGUUACAUAGUCAAACAUUGCCGUCGAAGCGGCACCACAUCGGAGUCUUAAGUUAUUACAACACUUGUCCAAAGUAGCGGAAGCAAAAUAGUUACACACACAUUCCAAAGUUCAGUUCAUAAGUUUGAGUUACUGCCAGAGUCUACACCGUCCUUCGAAAAGCAACAGGUACGAAGUUGUUAGAGAACCGUGCCCAACGGUUAGUCCUCAUCCCCAGCGGGAUGGAGACAGGUCUUGCAGAAACCGUCAUAGAAGAUGUCAUCUGCAACAAGUGGGAAUAAACCCUGAGUACGAGAAUGUACUCAGCUAGACUUACCCGUCUAGUAAAACAUAAAAGACACCAAGGAUCAUGCAAGGCCAAGAUAUAGAAGUAGAGCUCGUUGACUCGACAUUUUGCCAAAAGCCUUUAUUAAGACUACCCAAAUUUAAGAGCAUCAUAUUUAUUUAUCACCAGCCUACCACUAGAUUAGCACCUGUACUACAACACAUCACUUGAUUAUUACAAGCAAUAAUAACCAUAUCAAGUUCAUCAUAUGUUCUUCUUGCUAUCAUCAUUAUCAUGAACCAAGUUCAUUAGUGAAUGCUACGUUUGCCGCUGCUGUUGACGGUCCUUAAUGCUCACAUUUAACCAUCAACUAAUCAUAGAAAAGGAUCUAAAUGGAACCAACACCUAGACUUAGGGUUUUAUCUGACAGAAUUCCACAAGUUUUGGUGUUUGUCUAUUUCUGCAGGGGGUUAUUAGGAAAUAUGGAAGAAAGGCCCACACGUCGGGUUUACAUAGAGAUAUUAACGUGCCGCACAAUUAUCUACCAUCUAGAAGACUCCAAAAGCCACGAGACCGAAGCGGAGGCGAAACGGGGCCAGAGACUGGGCGCCCGCCCUGUCCUACUGGGCGCCCGCCCACCUCCUGAGUCCAAUCAGGACUCUGCUUUGCGGGAGAUCUCCACCGACCUAAAGGAUCAAGGAUAACCGUUCAAUCUAAGUCGUUUUGAUCCAACGGCCCAUAUUCACUUGAAGGGACUAUAAAACCAGACCCCUGGCCCCUGGAGAUCAUACCUCUUCUACAGAAUCAAAGCUAGGGUUUCAAUUCUUCAUCCAAGUAGAGAGGAUCCCUCUAGUUCUUCUAGUUCUACCUCUAGUUCAUCUAGAUCUAGUUCUAGUUCAUCUAGUUCUAGUUCUAGUUCCUCUAGUUCUAGUUCUAGUUAGUUCUAGUUGUAAUCUAGAAAAUAGGGAGAGAGAAGAGGAGAGCGGAGGAGGAGCCGGAUCUGUCGGAUCUUCCUCAACAUUGUACUUUUGCAGCAUCUGGUUCGUUCUUCAUCGUUCUCCAGGUUCUUCAAUUCAUAAUUCCUGAGUUCUUUAAUUACUUUUAUUUACAUUCAAGUUAUUUAUUGGAUUCCCGCUUGCAUCAAGUGCUCUAGUCUUUAUAACUCUAGAGUAGUAAUUAAUAGAUUAGACGUGGUGUUUAGUCUUGCGAUUACCUGGAAUUGCACUCAAUCCUACGGAUUGUUGUGGUAGCCCUAGGGUAGUGACAGCCCUAACGGUCGACGUAUUCCACCACGUUCGGAUCGGUGUUUGUAGGACCGUAGUCGGAGCUUCCUAGCCCCCUUCUCAUCUCUUUCUGUGGUUAGUGUUCUGAUGUCCCGAAAUAGAUAAUCUUGAAGUAAUUCUUGAUUCUUAGAUCAACUAGAGAACUCUCAGGAAACUUCCUCUCUUCCCACCAAAAAAUAAUUAUAUAGUUAUCCUUGGGCGAUCUUGAUUCUUAAUUAGUACACUCACGUUCCCUGUGGAAAAUCGAUACUCUGGAAUACUCCCGGGUGAAGGCUACAUCGGUAUCCGUGCGCUUGCGGAUUUUUCUGUUUGCGUUUAAAAUACCCAACAAGCUUUCUAGCGCCGUUGCCGGGGAACGGUAGCUGUGCUAGUUCCGAACCAAGUCGUCCGUGUAUCCUUUUUCUUUUCCUUUUUUACCACACUCACCUUAUCAUUUUCACCGUACCACAUGGAUUUCACUCUAAGCAUUAAUGAGCAUGGAAUUUAUUUCAUAGCCACUUCAUUUACUCCAUGCUCAUAUGCAACAUCUUCACAAUCCAUUGGUCUCUCCAACAUCACCACAUUCAAGAUCUCCAACCCCCUCUUCCUUUCUAUUUAUAAAAACUUUAAAAGGGCGGUUGUCGAUGCAUAUGUCUAUAAUAAAUUUUGCAGAUCUCGUUGAGUUGAUCUUGAUAUAGGUCAGCGUUGGAGGGGAAACCACUUCACUGACAUAAAUUGAUGGUUUUCCAAGGACAAGCUUAGUGUCCUAAAACAAGCACUGAUCAGAUUGCAACAUGAGUUUUUAAUUAUUUGCAAUAUUACCUUGUGUGUUGAGCAUAUAAGGAUAAUUGUAAAAAUAUUCCUUCGGGUAUUCUUGUCACUAACCUUUCCAGGAUUAGAGCAAGAAGAUCGGAUGAAUGACAAGCAUAAGGUAUGUCCAACCAAUCAUCAUACAACAUUGAAUUAAAUUCAUCCAAACUUGAAUUUUACAAAAUUCAAGCUUGGGGGAGUACUUUACAUAAAAACAUCCUUUGCCAUGUUGCUAUGUUGGUUGUCCCUACCUUUGAGACAUGCUCAAUUUGUUAAACACUAAUCAUUCUACUUCAUCUCCACUUGAGUAGAUCUCUAUAAAUGCUCUCAUGCUACCUUUAUUUGCUUUAGUAUAUGUCUAGGUUUGGAGUAGUUUCAUUUAUCUCUUAAUUAAGCAUGGUGCUUAGUUUAGGAAUGAUGAUCUUACUUCCAAAGGAUUUUAAAUUAAGUAUGGCGCUUAGGUUAAAAUGCCCUCCUAAAUCAAAUUAGACAAGGUGUUUAGGUUGAUUUUUUGAGCCGAUAGUAUGCUAUAGUAGAUAUUGGUUAUUUUGUUGGACUAACCCCUGCAGGAAAACUUUCAAUAUCGACCUGGGAAGUCCUGAGAUAAACUCACAUUGGAGACAAAGAGAGAGGCACAUGAAGUUUAACAAUUUACACAAGGAAGGCAUAGCUCACAAGAGAUGAUCUAUGGAGGGUGCCACAAACAUGAUGCACAACCGCUAAGAAAGGAAAGAUUCCACAAGGUGAUAAUGUACCAUCACUCUUCAAGUAAGGUAACAUCUUAAGGUACUUGUCUAUCACUUUUAUAAGUUUCUCCUUGGUUCUAGCGUUCACAUGAAUAAAAGAGAAACAUGUAUGAUUUACAACUCUAGAUUAACCAACCCAAUCGAUUCAAUAUGUUUAGUCCUUCCACCUUUGUGACCUCACACUCCUAAUCAUAUGAACUAAAAUGUUGCACACUCAAUCUUUGGAAAAUGAUAGUCAUGUAAAGAAAAAAAUAUUUACUUAGAUAGAUUAUCUUUCUAUAAGGUUGAGUGAUCUGAUCUGACAAAUGUUUUAAAUACUACACUCAUGAUCUUAUUAUCCAUCAACUUGGUCUUGCUCAUUAUGCUUAAGGAUAGAGAAGAAUAAAUACACUUUUGGUUCUGUUGGUGUUUUCCACCAACAGGGCCCAUGCACUUGAUCUCUGCCUUGUCUCUAUGAGCAGGUACACUUUAAGCAAAACAUGGAAGAGUUUUACAACUCCCAGACUCCACCAAGUGAAGAACCUAGAUCUACGAGCACAAACACACUGGAGAGACUGGACACUCAGGCAAUCACUGCCCUAAGAUGCUUGAGGACGUAACUACUGGAGUAACCCCGUUGUGGAAGUAAUUACUGACCUUCUGCCGGUCAAGAGAGGCGAUCCAGGACGCCCCGUCAUCCCGAUCUCCAUCGGCAUGGAGGACUUCCCAGAAGCACUCUGCGACUUUGGCUCCAGCGUCAACAUUAUGCUCAGGAACCUCUGCGUCCGAGUUGGUACCUUGUACGCCCCAGCAGACUUCGUGGUGAUAGAGACUGAUACUGAUGAGAGGGCACCCAUCAUCCUAGGGAGGCCAUUCCUGAACACCUCGGGAGCUGUCAUCCACGCUAGUGCUGCCAAGAUCAGUGUCUACAUCAAGGGAAGGAAGGAGACAUUUUCCUUCAAGAACAAAACUACACCAAUCUCAGAGCAAUCCUAACAUGAACCAAGGAAAGGACCAACAGGAGGAACAGGAACAAGCAAUUGUGGACUGAGUCAGCUAAGAUGGUCACUGCUGCUCAAGGAGGUCAAGAUCGUCAACUCAAGUCACCUUUCUUGAUCAAGAAGGAUGACCCUGGUGUUCCAAGCAUCGAGUGCACAAUCAACGGAUAUUUUUUUCAGAAGACACUCUACGACACCGGAUCUGACGUCAACAUAAUGGCCGCAGUCACUUAUCAGCUCCUGCAUGGAACCAUGCCCCUACAACCGACAUACAUUCAGCUCCAGAUGGCAGAUCAGACAUUCCGUAAGGUUAUUGUCAUGGGAGAAGAUGAGUACAAUCCACCCGUCAUCCUUGGAAGACCGUUUCUCAGCACCGUUAAAGCAAUCAUCUACAUUGGAACCGGAGAAGUCCACAUGAAUUUCCCCUCUGAGAAGGUACGCCGCUAUUUUACUGACCCUAACUAUAUAGUUGAAGACUCUAAGCAGGUCAGGACAAGAAGAAGACGACGCAACCGCAACCAGAGGAGGCAAAUCAUCAAGGACGCAUGAGCAGACUACGAAGGAGAAGUAGUAAGGUCUGAAGACAUACAGCUUGAUCAGAACUGUCCUGAGGAGACCGUAGCACCGAGUCAGGUGUGUAGAGAGAAGAUAGUUAUACAUGAAGAGCAGGCGCUGCCGGAACCACCAACUACGCCAUCCAGCGAAUCCCAGGACGACUGAGAAAACGGAGAGUCCCGUUCGCAGGACUUAAAAAAAAACACCGAACGCCUUGCCAAGAGGUAAACUUGGUAGUUAUCCUUUUUCCCUUUCAAUUAUUUAAAAUAGUUUGCUUAGUUAAUCAGGUUCAUAUCAUCUUAAAAAAAAAUAAUAAAAAAAAUGUAAAAAAUAGUAAGCCCCACGUGAGUAUGCUCAUGGCAUAAAACCCAUAAGUACAUUCACUGUGGUGGCAUAAAAAUAAAAUAAAUAUAUUCCUGUCCUAUAAAAAUAAAAAUAUAAAAAUAAAUUUAUGAUCCUACUAAAGAGAGUAACAUUUAUUGAGGAGGCUCAACAUGAUAAAGGCUAGGUAUUUACGCUAACCCUUAACCAGUUCCACAAAGCUUUGUUGUCUAUUUGAGCUUUACAGAAUUCAAGGAUCAAAGAAGACUAGCAGACGGAGGACAUCCUAAUCACUGUCAGGGUGCUGCUGACAUUCAAAUACACCUCCACCACCUGUUAGCUACAUCAGAAGAAAUUACGUCAAAAUCCAGCUUGGGGGAGAGCACCCCCAUUUAUCCAGCUAAGUAUUCUACUCACGUUUAUAUUUUACUCAAAUAAUAAAAAGAUGCAUAAUCAUAAAAACCCAAAUAAAGAUUUUGAGCUUAUAUAUAUCUUUGCUUAGUUUGAUAAAUAAAUAAAUAAAUAAAGUUUGCUAUGAACCCUCAUGAUAAGCUUUCACAUGGAAAUGAUGAAUAGUUGCUCUACCAUGACUAGUUCUAAAAAUUGAAAUCUCUCUCAAGUUUAGGCAUGACUGUUAUUAAUUAAGAUUUGCUCUAAACCUGAACUUGUGGGGAGAGUACUUGAUCUAAAGUCUAAGUCGUUAACGGAUACGAUAUGGGAAGGUUGAGCUGCUGUUUAUCUGUUCCUAGAUAUGCUAGAAUUCUGGAGAAUUUUAUCUUUGAAAAUCUUUAAAUUGUUGCAUGAUGAGUUCCUGUAUGAUGAGAGUUUAAAUUCCUACCACAGCCAUAUAUACAUGCUUGCUAGACUAUGAACCACACAUUUACUUUACUACUUAUGAGCAUUGAGUGUGGUCAAGCUGUGUAGACCCUUAGGAGCUUGUCAUGUGGUUAAAAUCAAGAUUCACUUGCAUGUUCACUCACACAUGCUGCUUCUACUCCGGAAGUAUGCAUCCACAUAUAUCCACCCAUUUCCAUCUCCAGAACCACACAAAAAAACAUUCUACUCCUAAUCCGGAAGAGAAUGGCCAAAAACAAUUCUAUUUUCCCCUGUGAAAUAAAUGCUCAAGUUAUCUUGGUUACUACCACUUGCUACAUUAUUUCAAGAGAUGAGUGCUCUAAAAAAAAGAAAAAAAAAGUAUACGAGGAAAUAAAAAGGGGCAAGUGCCCGGAACCUCAAAAGAAAAGAAAAAGUGAGACGAGAGGUAAAAAUGGACAAGUGUCCGACAGUAGAAUUAGGGGUACAAGAUACCCACCUGAGAGAGAAAAAGAAAAAGAAUAUAUAGAGCAUCUCAUUCUCCUCAAAAGUUUCAAAAGAGUAAGAAAGAUAUGUAUCCCCUCAAAAGAGCACAAGUGGAAUUAGACUUUCACCAUUGUUAUCACCAUCAUCACCAUACACCAUUCAUUCACCACACAUGCACAUCUUGAUUUGACUUAUUGACUUGUUCUUCUGGAUCCAUGGUUUGACUAUGAAAUAAAUGUCUUGUAAGUAUGUAUUACCUGUCUCCCACCUAUGAGCUCCAGAUAUCAAAAGCCUUAUUAGAGUAGGGUGAGAGAGAAGGCAAUGCCACUAUGCCUUAUACCACAAAUACCACAUACUUUGAGAGAAGGCAUACACCAUUAAUGCCUUGGUAAGGAUCCAGAAAUACCACAAAAGAGAGACUAGAGAGAGUCAUACAAGGAAUCUCUGAGUUUUAUUUGAAAAUCUGCAAAAACUCCAGAGCUAUAGCUGAUCAAGAAUAAGAGACAUGGUGCUUGACUAGACCGUUCUAUCUUUUAACUACUCAAGACAGAAGUGACGGUUACAAGUCCCAUGGUGAAAGGUAAAUGAGUAAGUUUUAAGUCUUAACAGUUUACUCUCACCAGAGAUGAGAUCUUGUUUAAACGCAUGUGUAUCUUUAAGUUAUGAAAACACUGCAGAAACUCUUGAGUCCAUCUUUGCUCAGGGACGAGCAAAGGUUAAGCUUGGGGGAGCUUGUUGACGGUCCUUAAUGCUCACAUUUAACCAUCAACUAAUCAUAGAAAAGGAUCUAAAUGGAACCAGCACCUAGACUUAGGGUUUUAUCUGACAGAAUUCCACAAGUUUUGGUGUUUGUCUAUUUCUGCAGGGGGUUAUCAGGAAAUAUGGAAGAAAGGCCCACACGUCGGGUUUACAUAGAGAUAUUAACGUGCCGCACAAUUAUCUACCAUCUAGAAGACUCCAAAAGCCACGAGAUCGAAGCGGAGGCGAAACGGGGCCAGAGACAGGGCGCCCGCCCUGUCCUACUGGGCGCCCGCCCACCUCCUGAGUCCAAUCAGGACUCUGCUUUGCGGGAGAUCUCCACCGACCUAAAGGAUCAAGGAUAACCGUUCAAUCUAAGUCGGUUUGAUCCAACGGCCCAUAUUCACUUGAAGGGACUAUAAAACCAGACCCCCUGGCCCCUGG